CCACCACCACCACCUCCACCUCCCUCCUCCAGAGAAUACCGUAAAGGUAACUGGACCAUCCAAGAAACACUGAUCCUCAUCACAGCCAAAAAACUAGACGAUGAGCGUAGACUAAAAAACACCUCAACCCCAUCAUCAUCACAAGACCCAAACAGAACAACAACAAAUGUCACUUCCAUUGCAAGUGCCAGCAGCAGCAACAGAAAUAGUGGCGAACUAAGAUGGAAAUGGGUUGAAAACUAUUGUUGGAGCAAUGGUUGCUUAAGAAGCCAGAAUCAAUGUAAUGAUAAAUGGGAUAACUUGCUUCGUGAUUACAAAAAAGUUCGUGAUUAUGAGUCCAAAUCAGAAUCACCCAACAACAACAAAUUAGAUUUCCCUUCUUAUUGGACUCUCAACAAACAACAACGCAAAGAACAAAAUCUUCCUUCUAAUAUGGUGUUUGAAGUUUAUCAAGCUAUUAGUGAUGUUCUUCAAAGAAAACAAUCACAAAGAAUCAUCACUAAUCCACAACAACAACAAAACUUGGUAACAUUAGUCUCUUCAUCACAACAACCACCAUUACUUCAAGCACAACCUCUUCCACCACUUCCUCCUCCACUUCCCUUACAACAACCUCCACCACCGCCACAUGCUCCGGCAAGCUCAACCACUCCGGUUGUUUCAGGUAAUGUAGAGUAAUCAUCAAUGUGAUACUGCUACACAGCUCACUAUUUCAGUCUCAAAACACUUUCUUUUAUUUUUUUUAUUUUUUUUUUAAACAAUUUUUGGAUGCUGUGUUGUGUGUGGUUUAUCGGUCAAACUUGCAGGUUCUGUAAACCCUGCCACAACUUAAUGGGACCCAUUUUUUAUCUUUUAGUUUCUCAUACAGUACAAUAAGUUCCAUGUUAUUUAAAAUACGCUUAACUUAUAUGACCGUUCGAUUAAACAGUGAUUAAUUUACAUCGAACGGUUCAUGAGGAGAUUGUAAGGAGAUAUUGGUGCUAUCUUAGACCACGUUGCUUCACUGCACAAAGAUUCUGAAAAUUUGUUUCUUUUUUAUUUUUAUUUUUUUAAAAUAUUGAUGACAAAAGUAAAAUUAAAAUUAAAAUAAAAGGGAUUUAUACAGUACAAUCAUGCAGGCCAGUGUGUGAAAGGGUACCACCUCAUGAUUGUCUAGGAUUUUGUGGGCUAUCCAAGAAAAUAGAUUCUGAGUUUUCUUAAUCCCUCUGGGUGUAAUCAUUAACAUAAUCCUUAAUCUUUACUAACAAUACCCCAAAUCUUACUCUAAAUUUUUUUAAAUUAAAAAAUUAAAAAACUGUCAGGUUUCCACGUAGUCAAUGCAUUGACCAAUAUAAUCUCAUGAGUCAUAACCAAACUCAUGCAAAUUAAAUACUCUCGUUACAUUUUUUGGGAUCAUUUUUUAUUUUUAUUUUAUGAAAGGGACAUUUUCUUAUUUCAGGCUUACUACUGGUAUUUCUUAAUCCAACAUUGUUGGUACAUAUUCUUUAUUUAUUUAUUUAUUUACCAUUUCAUUCAAUUAAUGUAGCUUAAAUAUGAAUUAUGUGAUUGUAUUGUGGAACUAUAUUGUUUAAUUGUAGAGAGAUCAGAAUCAUCAGAUUCAGAACAUAGUGAGGAUAACGAUGAUGAUGAUGGUUCGGAAUCAAAACGUAGGAAAGUUAAGAAUCUUGGUUCAAGCAUAAUGCGAAGUGCAUCAGUGUUGGCACGAGCUCUAAGAAGAUGUGAAGAAAAGAAGGAGAAACGGCACCGUGAAUUAAUUGAGCUCGAACAAAGACGAAUUCAAAUGGAGGAAGCUCGGAAUGAAGUUCACCGGCAAGGUAUCGCCACCCUUGUCGCCGCCGUCACCAACCUUUCCGGUGCCAUUCAGUCAUUCAUUAAUUCUGAACACCAUGGUCGUAGAUAAUUAAUAUGCUACCUUAUCGAUAUAAAUAUUUAUUGGACAUGCAUUCUUUCACCCACUUAAAAUUCAAUUGGAGUAUAAUAUUUUUUAGACAGUUUCACUUCACCAAUUGAUUCCACGUGAUAUAUAUGAUCAUAUGUGAUGCAUGGUACUAUGUGUUCCAUUCUUUGAUGAAGAGAACCUAUCCUUGUGCCUAGUAUUAAUUGUUCAUUGAAACAAACACCGUAUUGAUCCGGUGUGAUUAUUGUGCAUAUAAUUUAAUUAUUAAUGUUUACAUAAUUUGUUUGUUUCUCUGAAUAAUAUUUUUGAAUUUGAAUAAUAUUAAUGUAAAUUUGAAUAAUAUUUGAUGGGCGGGUAUUUAGGGAAGAAUGAUGGAUUAUGGAGUAGUGGUACUUACAAACGGAGGGAAGGGGGAAAGGGUAGCUGACAAGUGAGACAGAGGGCAGAGAGUGGUUCUCCAUAAUCCAUUCUUUUUCUAAACUGAGUCACUAGGGACAGUCAAAGGGUGUGUCUGAGUCAACAUAAUUUCUUUUGACCACAUAGGACGUUAUUAACCCCACAACUUUUUUCACUCUGUACCCCCUUCUUAACUUCUACCAUCUCAUAUACGCCAAAACUAUGAUAGACUCUCUUCAAUGAUACAUUGCACUUCCCAAAAUGUCCCUACUCGUCCUAUCUCUCUCUUUCUCACUGCCUGCCUAGUACACUCUACCUUUCCAGGCAUCUUUCUAGCUACUUGCUUUUUCACCGACGCAAUAUCCCUUUGAUUAUUUCUCCCACUUUCGCAUUGUCUCAAUCACAAACCGAACCGUUUUCACUUUCUUUAAUAACUAAUCUUUUCUGUUGCUUAUAAUUCACUCUUAACUUUUUUGUUUCUUCUCAUGCAAAUAUGUAAAUUUAAUCACUCACGUUCCGCAUUCCUCAGUUUUUAAUCACAGUUCUUCAGGUUGUUACACGACUCUCCCUCUCAUCUUCAAUUCGUCUCUCAAUUUUUAUUUUUUUUUAGUCUUUUAAAUUAUAUUAUAGACAUUAUACAUUUGUUCUCUCUUUUUUUAUAUACAUUUAACAAUUUUAUUUCUCAAGGUUUAAACAUUAGAGACUUUGAUCAUGUCUAGGACUAAAAGUGUCUAACAUUUUUAAUUUAAGGGGUCAGUGUGUUUUGUAAUUAAAAUAGCUAGAGUGUCUAAUAUUUUCAACUAAAGGAAUCAAAAUGUUUAGUAUUUGAUAAAACAAAAAAUGUUUGAGGGAUAAAAAUAACAUGUUUAUAACUUAAGGAUCAAAAUAGAAAAAUAAAAAUUUAAUGAGAUCAAAUUAAAAUUUAAAAAUAACUUAAAUGACAAAAAGUGUAAUGUAACCUACCAUAUGUUUGGUUGCAUGAGUUCGAAAGGGGAGGAGGGCAUACUUUAAAGAAUGUGUGUUGGUUGGAGGGGAAGGAGGGAGCAAAAUCAUUUUUAAACAUUUUUUUUUUCAUUAGAUUUGAGAUUUGAACCGAGAGAGUCCAUGUAUUUUAAAUAUUAUUUAAAAUUUAUCUUAUUCCCUUAAAUUAAACAUAAAUUUAUUUAAAAUAUUUUUCUCUUUUCAUUUAAAAUCAUAUAUAUCUCUAUUUUAAUUCUCUUAUCUCAUCUCCCUUCCAUUAAAAUGCCUAUUGUCUCUUCUAUCGAACCAAAUGGAUUCUAAAGAAAAAGUAUUAUAUGUCUCCAUGGUAGGCAUAAAGAUAAGGUUACAAAAACAACCAUUUUAGACAUCUAAAAGUAAAUAAUUUUACACUAAAAAAAAGACCUCAAAAAAUUUGUAGUUAAUAAAAAAAGUCUCAUAUUUUAAAAGUUUCAAAUUUAAAAAUAAUAAAAUUUAAUAUAAAAUUAAAAUUGAAACAAUAAAUAUUAAGUUGAUCGACUUAAUGAUUAAUUUAAAAAGAUAUAUUUUAUGACGGAUUUUUUAAUUAAAAAUAAAUAUAUUUAUAUUUGAAUUUUGCAUAUUGACACUUUUAUAACUAUUAAAUGAAUUGUAUUUAUAAAUGACGACGAUAUUUUUUUUAUUUUAAACAGAUUAUAACUAAAUCGAAAAACUUCUAAUACUUGAAUUUUUCAAUAUUUUUUUAAGGUCAUGUAUUUCAGUGUAAAUUUAUUAAUUUCAAACCUAAAUAUAUUGUUGGUAUGCUAAGUUUCUUUAUUUAUAUGGCUAUAUAAAUUCUAGCUAUAUUCCCGUAAAAAAAUUCAUUACCAUUAACUUAGUAAAAAAAUAUAAAUAUUCAUCUUAUCUAUCAACAAAAUAAUGUAUCUGUUAAAAUAUUGUUACAAGUCUUAUAUGCUAGCCUGUGGACAUUUAAAUACAUGUGAGUUUUUAAGUUACAUACAUAAUUAACUCAUAACUAUAAAAUCACAAGUUUAAUCUUUACUAUCGAUUAAAAAUCUCUUUAAUAGUUAAUUGAUAAAUAUAUUUAUUAAUAUUUUUUAAAAUUUAAAAUAUAUCCUGACUGAGUUCUUAAAAUUCAAUUCAUUGAAACUUUAUCACAUAAAAAAAUAAAAAAUAUUUUAAUAUACUUAUUCUCUAAACUAAUAAAUUAAUUAUUAUUUUUACUAAUCAAAUAAUUAUUUAUCAACUUUUAUAUUUUAAGAAAGAUUAUCUCAUAAGAAAAAACAUUUCAUUAUUUACAACAUUAUACUAAUUUUUUAUUGUAAAUAAUAUUAAUAUUCUCUCUUUUCAGUAACAAAAAAUCUAUAAAAUUAAAUUAAAUUUUAUUUCGUUAAUAUUUUUACUAAAUAAUAUUUAAUUAUUAUAAUAUUUAAAAAUAAAUAAAAUAACUUUUUUAAAAAAAUUGAUUAAUUAUUAAUUUAAAAAUGAAAUGCACCGAUACAUUAUGUGGAAGUGACGCGUAGAAUUUCUCUAAAUACACGUAUAAUAUCUAAAGCAACUUCAUUAUUAUAAUAUUGUUAUAUAUCCUUUUGUUACUUGUUUGUUACGUAUCAUAUAGCCUACCUAUCGUAAAAAAAUAUCCUAGUUAUCAAUAAAUUUAAAUCUCCAAAUUUCACGAAUAUAUAGAAAAAUUAUAUCUUAUAUUCCACAUUUAUACUUAUACCUUUUAUUGUAUUUUAAAAUAAAAUUAAAUAAAAUCUGCAUUCUACUAAAUAUAACUUAAAUUUUUAAAAACUUAAAAAAAAUCAUAAAAUUUAAAUUGAGGACUAGAAUUUUUUUUUUCUUCAAAUUUUAAAGUAUACAAAUAUGUUUUUAAAAAUUUAAGUUUGUGUAGAAAAUCAAAGUUUGUAUAUUGAAAAACUUUUAUGUAAAUAUGUUUUAAAAAAUUUAAAUUUUAUAUACUGAGAAACUAUUUUCAAAUUUUUCAAUAUACAAAUAUAUUUUAGAAAAUUUAAACUUUGUAUAUUAAAAAAUAUUUUUUAAAAUUUUUGGAAGCACAAAUAUCUUUAAAAAAUUUAAAUUUUGUAUUUCGAAAAACGUUAUAUUUUUUAAAAUUUUCUAAAAGAGAGACAUGUAUUAAAAAAUUAUAUAAUUUGACUUUUUUAAAUAAAAAAUUGAAUUUUUAUUAAAAUAUAAGAGUAAAAUUAUAAAUUGGGUUUAUGAAGUAAAAUUUUCAAUGUAUGGUCUAUAUAUUUGAAAUCCUUAUGAAUUAAUUCACCUUUUCACACUCUUUAACGAUUUCCUUUCGAUUAUUAUUUUCAAAAGAAACCAUCUUUAAAAAAAAUUAUAGUAAAAUAUGAAAAUUAUAUUAAUAAUGAGAAUAUUUUUUACGUCAAGAGUUAUAAUAAGAUUUAUAUGAUUAAUAAAUAUAUCUAACUAGUGUAUUUAAGUAUAUUAUCUAAUAUUUUUUUAAACAAUAGUUACAAAUUGAUACAAAAGUGUGGAGACUCAGCUUAAGAUUAAGUUCAUUAAAGUGUGGAGAAUAUCAAACUUCAAAAAAUGAGAUGAAAUUGAUAUGAGUUAACAAAUGAGAGAGUUUGUGUCAAGUUUUAUUCAUUUAUUUGUAAAAAAAUGUUUAAUUCUUUUAUUUAUUUUAUACUAUUUAAUAUUAUUUAUCUCUAUUUAAAUUUAUAUGAUUUAUAUUUUUUAUUAUUAUUUUGGACAAAUUGGAUGUAAAGUUAAUCAAAUUUUUUAUUGUUGACUUUCAUUUGUGAUAUGUAAUAUAAACUUAAGAGAUCUUUUUACUACUAAAACUACCAAACCACCCUUCAUCUUCUUCUUACACAUCCUCAUUUUUAGAGACUAUUUCUAAUUACUUCUCUGAUAAAAUUAUUUCAAUUUGUUAAAAAACACUUAAGUAUGUAUAGUUGACACUCUUGACAUGACGAGAGACAAUGAAUUUUCAUUUCCAAUGUGUCUACCAUAUUCAUUUUUAUUAUUCAAUGUGAAAAAUAGAUGAAUUUUCAUCUAUUCUACUUACUCUUCUCAUCUAUUCUUCUUUCCAUAUUUUCAUUUUUUUUCUCUAUUCCAAGAAACUGUUGCUAAAAGGUAAAAUAUUAAAGCUCUCCAUCCUUUUUAAUAUUUUUUUUCAUAUAUUUAUUUGUUUUUCUUUUGUUUAACUGCAUAUUUUCUACUCCACUUUUUCUUUCAUUUUUUUGAUAAAUUUACAACCAUUUAUUUAACCACUUUCUUGCAUGUUAAUUUUUUUUUUUUUCUGAUAACUUCAGCUAAAUGGAUAUAACCGACUUAUUGAAGGUAAGGUCUUGAUUUUUACAUAUAUUUUUUGCUUUCCUCCUAUAAAUCUUACUGUUGGACGGGUCACAUCAAAAGAUAAGUAUUUUUUUUGUAAAAAAAUGUUACUCUUACUUUUUUCUCCACUAUAAUUCCAUCUUUUUGGAAUAAAAUUUACACCUUUUAUUUAACCACUGCCUGUUAUUAGUUUUUUUCAAGUAGCUUUUGCUAAAUAGGUAAGACAUCUAUACGAUAAAAUAAAUCAACCUUAAUUUUAUGGUAAAUGUGAUAUUUGUCACUUAAUAACAAUACUUAGUAUCUUAAGUUUUCUAUCAAUAAAAAAAGUUUUAUUACUAUUUCUUUAAUUAUUUUAUUUAGUUAGUUAAAUUUUGUUUUUUAUUCAAAUUUAACUUUUAUUUAAGAAUUAGUGUUAAUUUAUUUUUAUUAAAAUUUUAAAUUUUAAAAAAUUAUUGGAAAAUUACACAUUUAUUUAAAAAUUUACAAUAUUUUUUAUUUGUUGUAAUUUUGAAGGAGCAAUUGACUUUUUUUUUUUUAUCUUUUACAAAUUUUAAUUUUAACUUAAAAUGAAUUCGGUUUCUAUUUUAAAUGAAGUAAAUAAAGCAAUUGAAUAAAACAAGAUUGUAUUAUGACAAUUUUAGAAAAAUAUAUUUAUGCUUGUUAUUAAUAUUAUUUAAAUGAAGGUAUUUAGUAGCAUCCCUUUUAUUAAUAAUGAGUUACUCCUUUUUAUUUAAAAUUUUGUAUUGAGAAACUCUUUUACAACUGAAAAAAAAAUUAAGAGACUUUAAUAAAUAAAUAAAACUUUUACGCCUCUUUAGGUUUUCAAAAUACACUCUUUUUUAAAUAAAUAAAAAAAACACUUUUCAAUAAUCUUUAGUUGUCAAUUAAUUGUCUCUCCUCAAUCACAUACGCCUUCAAUUUUCCUUUUCAAUUAUAUAUUAUUUAUUGAUUAUAAAUAUCAUACAUAUUAUCUCAUAUAUACAAUUUUUCUUUGAAUUUUUAUUUACCAUAAAAUUAAGUAUUUAUUAUUCAUUUUUGUGUUCAUCUUUAUGCAGUGUAUGUACAUUUAAUGUUUGUAUAUCUUUAUUUUUUUGUUCAUUUUUAUUCAUUUACAAUGUGUUUUUUUUUUAAAUUUGUAUCUGUUUUAAUUUUGAAGGAGCAAUUGACUUUCUUAUAUUUUUUUUCUUUUACAAAUUUUAAUUUAAAAUGAAUCCGAUUUCUAUUUUAAAGGAAGUAAAUAAAUCAAUUGAAUAAAGCAAAUAUUGUAUUAUGAAAAUUUUAGAAAAAUAUUUAUGCUUAUUAUUAUUAUUAUUUAAAAGAAAGUAUUUAGUAGCAUUCCUUUUUAUUGAUAAUGAGUUCUCGUUUUUAUUGUACAUUUUGUAUUAGGAAACUCUAUUUUGUUUUUACAUCCGCAAAAUUAAAAUUUAAGAAAUUUUGAUAAAUAAAUAGAAAAACUUUUCUGUCUCUUUAGUUUUUCAAAACAUUCUCUUUUUUGAAAAAAAUAAAAAAAAAAACACUUUUGUAUUUGAAUUCUAAUAUACUAGUGUUUAACCCAUGCGACCGGACUAUCUUAAUUAAUAAAUUGUUAAUUUAAUAUAUAUAUAUAUAUAUAUAUAUAUAUAUAUCAAUUUUCAUAAAUUUUAUUGACAUUAAAUACGACUUACAAAAAUAAUUUACAAUGAAAAAAAUAAAAAAGUUUAAUCAUAACCUAACUUAAAAACUACUUUCUUACACGAUCAAUGUUACUUAUCAACUCCAACACCACUCUUUAAUCUUGAUGAUGCCUUAUUUUUUUAUUCUCCAAAGAAUCUUUUUUUCUUUCCAAAAAAACUUAUUAUAAAACAAUACUUUUAAUUUUAAACAAAUAAAAACAAUAAUUAUUAAAAAAUUAAAUAAUUAGAUUAGAUGAAAUAAUAAUUUUUAAAAUAAUGGACAUGACAUAUAUAAAUUAAGUAAAUUAGUAAAUAUAAAGAUAAGUAAGUAACUUAAUAAUGAAUUUUUAUUUUUAUUAUUCAACAUAGUAUGUUAUUUAUAUGAAAUACAUGACAUUUAAGAAUUCAUAUAAAUUUUGGUGUAUCUAAUGGCAAAACAUCUUUCAUUUCGGUGCUACUCACAAAAUACUACAGAGAAAUAAUCUUCCAAUUACAAAAAAGUUACAAUACACGUAAAAACUAUGAUUAUCUUUUAUAUUUGAAUGAAUCCUUUGAAUUCUUUUAUCUUUGAAUGAAUCCUUUGAAUUUUUUUGAAUUUUUUGAAUUUGCAUGAUUAAAUUUUGAAUGUAAAAUGUAUAUGUAAAAUGUAUAGUAUAUUAGUAAAAUUAAAAUGUAACUAUUUAAAAUAGUAGUUUUUGAAAAAUUAUUAUACACUUUCACAUAACUGUCAACUCACUCAUCAAAUCGUGAUGUAAUAGAUUGGUUAAAGUAGUGUUUGAAGAUCAUGACCUAAUAGAUUUGUUAAAGUAGUGUUUGACGUUCGAAAAACCAAUACUUUCAAUAAAAACCGUCGAAUAAAUGUAAUGAAUUGUAUUUUUUUUUUAUUCCUAAAUAAAUUUAUUUUUAUUUCAAUCUUUUGGAAAUAAGCCUAAAUAAAUUUUAUAUUUACUUAAAUAAAUUAUUAUUAUUUGACAUAGAUGUACAAUCUUUUGAGACAAAAGUAUAUAGAUAUACAAUUUUUUGAAACAAAAUUUAGAAACAUAAACAAUAAAAUCUAUACAUUAUAAUAAAGCAAACAUAAUAAAUUGGCAAGUUUGACAUGUGUCAACAAACUAAAGUGUUAAGAAAAUAUCAAGUUUCUAUUAAUAGAAAUAAUACGUGCUUAUGUUUAAGAAGUUAAUGGCUAAUUAAAAAAUAAAAGGAAUGAAUUAAAAAUAAAAAGUUUUUUUUUGUAAGAAAAACAUAAAACUUCUGUUACAUCACGAUCUUUCUCUACGAUACAUCCGUUGAGAAUUUAAUGGUCAAUUAAAAAAUUAAAAAUAAAAUACAAUACACUUUGACAGUUUUUUCUAUGCGUCCGUUGAGAAGUUAAUGGCCAAUUUAAAAAAUAAGAAAAACAAAUUAAAAAUAAAAGAUUUUUUUUUAAGAAAAAAAUAAAACUUCAAUUAAAUAAGAAAUGCAGAAGUGAAUAACCAAUUAAAAAAUAAGAAAAUAAAUUAAAAAUAAAAUAUAAUGCACGACCUGGCAUUUCACAUUUUACGGUUGAGAAUUGAGUAGCCAAUUGAAAGGUAAUUAUUUUUAAAGCACUACUUUAGCAACCGCAACUUCAAAUUAAUUUAAUUAAAAAAAUUAUUCUUCUUAAUUCGCCGUAUUCCGUUAACCGUCUCUAAUUAUCUCUCAUUUUUUGUGUCUCUUAUAAAUAUCAUUCACAUUAUCUACUAUAUACACAAUUCCUUAUUAGUUAUUAUAUUUUUUUUUUACCAAAAUUCGUUAUUCAUUUUUGUGUUUAUCUUUCUCCGAAAAAAAAUCAAAUUUUGUUGCUUCAAUUUCUCCAAAUAAGGAUUCAUGGAAUUUGGUUGAUAAAGUUGUGACAUUGUUCGUGUCAACGUCAAAACAUAAAUUUUACGCUGGAAAUGGUCUUGAUGGGUGAUGUUAAGGUUUCAUUCUUUUGUUUAUAAAUUCAAAUUUUAAAUUAUACACGAUGUUAUUUGUUAGUAGCAAAGAUGUGUUUCAUAUUUUUAGUGGAUAAAAUUGAAGCAAGUGUGAGCUUAUAUUUCUGAAUUUGAGAUUAACACUGUUGAAGAAACUAUAUAUAACAAAUUUGUGGGGUAUAUGAAACAAUGAAAUACUAUUUGAUAUUGAAUAUGCAAAAUGGUACACAUCAAUUAUUUUGGUAGAUGUGCUCACGUGAAUUACUAGUAAAUUUAUUUCAAUAUGUCAUUGUUAUUUUAUUCUAUUUAUAAAAAAAAAUUACUAUUUUGUUAUAUAUAUUUUACUAUUGUUUAUGUUUUUAAAUUUUGUUUAAAAAAAUUAUACGUAUGUAUACUUAUAAGAUUUCUCUCAUACAUAGUUGUUGUCGGUCUUAAUAAUUUUGAUUUUAGUUUAUCUAAUAAACACUGUUAGCACAAAGUUAUAUUGAAGAGUAGGCGCCAUUAAUUCAAGUUAAUUUCCAGCGAGGAGAAAAAUAAUAAUAUAUUUAAAUAAAUAUAAAAUUUAUUUAGGAAUUAAAAAAAAUACAAUUCAUUAUCGACGACGGUUUUUAUGUAGGAGUAAUGGUUUUUCAAACUUCAACCACUGAUUUAACAAAUUUGUUCCACCACGAUUUGACGAGUUUUUGUGAAAGUGUGUAAUGAUUUUUUUAAAACUACUAUUUUACUAAUCUAUUAUACAUUUUACAUUCUAAAUUUAUUAUUAAAUAUCAUGCAAAUUCAAAAGAAAUGAAAGAUUAAUGAAGACUAACAUGCAAAUUUAAAGAUAAAAGAUAACCAUAGUUUUUAUGUGUAUUGUAAUUUUUUUUGUAAUGAGAAUAUUAUUUUUCUGUAGUAUUUUGUGAGUAGUACCAAAAUGAAAGAUAUUUCAACAAAAUUUACAUAAAUUUUUAAAUAUCAUGUAUUUCAUAUAAAUAACAUACUUAAGUUAUAUAUGUCAUGUUCAUUAUUUUAAAAAUUCUUAUUUCAUUUGAUCUAAUUAUUUAUUUAUUUAAUAAUUAUUGUUUUUAUUUAUUUAAAAUUAAAAGUAUUGUUUUAUAAUAAGUUUUGUUAGAAAGAAAAAAAAUUCUUUGGAGUGGUGCUAUCAGUGACAUUUGACAUGUCAAUAAAAUUUAUGAGAAUUGAUAUAUAUAUAUAUAUAUAUAUAUAUAUAUUAAUAUAACAAUUUAUUUAUUAAAAUGUACAUUGUUUCCGUGCGACGCACGCACGGGUUACACACUAGUUAUUUUAAAAGGAAAAGUAUUUUUACGGUUAUUAAAAAAAAUUAAUUGUAAUAAAUUUUAUAGUAUUUGUAUUAAUAAAAUUUAAAUUUGUUUAUUUUUUAGUUAAAUAUUCAACUAUAUAUAUUAAAUAUUUUUGAAUUAAAUAAAUAUCAUAUUAUGGAUAAUAACAUUUUUUUUAUAAUAGUGAAUUAUUUUUGCUCUUAUGAUAGUUCCAUAUUAGUAAGAAAUAAUAAGAAAAUUGGGCUUACCAAAAGCAGACAUUGCUAGGAAGAGGUAUCUACUGUGGCGAAUUCCAGAGACAGAUUCAUGAAGUUCAAUUAGGAGAAAUAUGGUAUAGAAUUGCCAAAUGAAUGCUAUUGACAAACACACACUACCCCAUGCCCUGAAAUCAUUGAUGAAAUUAUAAGGCAAAAUGUAACCCGUGAAUAGAUAUUUUAUCUAUAUUUAUUACAAUAAAAAAGAUAUACUAAAGAUCUUAGUGUAUAAAAGUUUAAUUAUGUAAAUAAUUCUAUUUUUUUUUUAUAAUUUUAAAUUAUAGUAGUCCAUGGUGGCGCCAGCUUGACCUAAUAGAGUACUUUGAAACUGAAUUGACUUUGUUCAUUUUUUUUAAUAUAGCUUGAUGUAGGUCUUUCAGCUAACUACGUUGUUAAUUUGGUAUAGUCAACAUUAGAUAAAUUUGGUAUAUGUAUUACCAUUUCUAGAUUCAGUUAGAGGAAGCCACUCAUCUUUUGGAUGUUGAAUCUCGAUUUGGUCACUAGGUGAUGAGUGGUUAGAUUCAGUAGUGGUUGGAUCAAUGUGUAUAACAAAAUUUGAAGCAGAGUGUUGAAGCAGAGCUAAUUCUGAUAUCAAUUUUUGAGAUUCAUUCAAUUCUCCCAUAAGUACGUUAUUGGAUAUAAUUACUGAAUUGCUUUGGACUUGUGAAUAUGAAAUGAAAUGACAGUGUUUACUUUUAUAUAUAGCGUGAACAAAAACAUUCAUUCAAUUCAAAUCCCAACGUGUGGCUUCCACUAAGCUAUUAAAGGAAUUACGUCCUGUUGCUGAUCUCAUUGCAUAGCAUGUAAAUGGACUUUGGUUGUCUGCGGUCACAAAACUCUUGUCUUCACAUGGAGUCUCAUGAUCUCCAUCGUUGGAUUGGGAUCGAAUGAGUUAGAUUUUUACGUUUAAAUUUUUCAUUUUAAAAAAUUAAUAUAUGAUUUUAAAUUUAGAAUUUUUUUUAAUAUUUGUCGAAUAUCAUAAAUCGUAUGUCUACACCUAAUCAAAUUACAUAUAAACACAAGACAAUUGAAAUUGAAAUUUGUUUCUAUGUUGUACUAUGUUAUUAUUAUUUUUAUUAUAGUAAUAACAUUAUAUACUAAUAAAUUUUGGAAUUAUAUAAUAUUUUUUUGGUUACAUAGUAAAUCAAUCAUGAUCUUAAUAAUUGAGAUUUUCUAUUAGAAUGUGUAAUGUCCAUUUUUGCAAACUAGAACCUUAGGUAAGGAAUUCAAGUAUUAGCAAAAGUGUAAAAUAUAUAUAUCAAAAUAGUACAUGUGACAGUUUUAUAAGCAAAUUAAAUUAAUUAUGUGCAAAAAUGGACACCAACAUCAAAUUCUAAAAUAAGAAAAAUUAAUUAUAUACUAUAAGUGCAAAUUAAUUUUACCUACACUAAUAUUUAAUAACCACUUUUGAUUAUAUUAUUCUAUUUUAUAAUCGUAGUUGUCAUCUUAAAAUAACUAGUAAACCAAUCACUUAAGUUGGUUGUUAAUGUAAAAUAAUUUACAAUUACAAUGUAUAUCUAUUAAAUUCUUAAAAUAAUUACAAGAAAAAUAUUAUAUUAUAUUAAUAUUAUAUUAUAUUAUAUUAUAUUAUAUUAUAUUAUAUUAUAUUAUAUUAUAUUAUAUUAUAUUAUAUUAUAUUAUAUUAUAUUAUAUAAUAAAUUUAUAAUUUAUAUUAUAUUAUAUUAUAUUAUAUUAUAUUAUAUUAUAUUAUAUUAUAUUAUAUUAUAUUAUAUUAUAUUAUAUUAUAUUAUAUUAUAUUAUAUUAUAUUAUAUUAUAUUAUAUUAUAUUAUAUUAUAUUAUAUUAUAUUAUAUUAUAUUAUAUUAUAUUAUAUUAUAUUAUAUUAUAUUAUAUUAUAUUAUAUUAUAUUAUAUUAUAUUAUAUUAUAUUAUAUUAUAUUAUAUUAUAUUAUAUUAUAUUAUAUUAUAUUAUAUUAUAUUAUAUUAUAUUAUAUUAUAUUAUAUUAUAUUAUAUUAUAUUAUAUUAUAUUAUAUUAUAUUAUAUUAUAUUAUAUUAUAUUAUAUUAUAUUAUAUUAUAUUAUAUUAUAUUAUAUUAUAUUAUAUUAUAUUAUAUUAUAUUAUAUUAUAUUAUAUUAUAUUAUAUUAUAUUAUAUUAUAUUAUAUUAUAUUAUAUUAUAUUAUAUUAUAUUAUAUUAUAUUAUAUUAUAUUAUAUUAUAUUAUAUUAUAUUAUAUUAUAUUAUAUUAUAUUAUAUUAUAUUAUAUUAUAUUAUAUUAUAUUAUAUUAUAUUAUAUUAUAUUAUAUUAUAUUAUAUUAUAUUAUAUUAUAUUAUAUUAUAUUAUAUUAUAUUAUAUUAUAUUAUAUUAUAUUAUAUUAUAUUAUAUUAUAUUAUAUUAUAUUAUAUUAUAUUAUAUUAUAUUAUAUUAUAUUAUAUUAUAUUAUAUUAUAUUAUAUUAUAUUAUAUUAUAUUAUAUUAUAUUAUAUUAUAUUAUAUUAUAUUAUAUUAUAUUAUAUUAUAUUAUAUUAUAUUAUAUUAUAUUAUAUUAUAUUAUAUUAUAUUAUAUUAUAUUAUAUUAUAUUAUAUUAUAUUAUAUUAUAUUAUAUUAUAUUAUAUUAUAUUAUAUUAUAUUAUAUUAUAUUAUAUUAUAUUAUAUUAUAUUAUAUUAUAUUAUAUUAUAUUAUAUUAUAUUAUAUUAUAUUAUAUUAUAUUAUAUUAUAUUAUAUUAUAUUAUAUUAUAUUAUAUUAUAUUAUAUUAUAUUAUAUUAUAUUAUAUUAUAUUAUAUUAUAUUAUAUUAUAUUAUAAAUGACAAUAAGUUGAAAUUUUGCUGAUUGUAGUAUAGUCCAUUUCAUCAAGCACUAGAUGAAAAAUUGAUAGCCAGUAUCACAACAACCCAAACCCUUAUAUUUUUAAAAUUAAUUUUCUACAUAUAUAUCUAAAUAUAAACGAAGCUUCCCAUGAGGGGGUUCAUCUUAGUGGGGCAAGUGAAGCAUAUAAAGAUUAUUUAUUUUUUAAUAAAAAAUAGAAUACAAAGGCAUUACAUGAUUAAAGAAUUUUAGCAUAUAAAAUUUAUUUAAUUUCAAUUGAAAUUGAAAACAAUUAAAUAUUUCUAAAUAAAUACUAAAACUAUAUCUACACAUGUGUUGUCAUAGACUCAUAGUAGACCUCAUGUCCCAAAGUUGCGAUAUGUGAAAAACUAGAAAUUGUAGCUUCAACUUAACUGCAAAUCACAGUUUCUGAUAUUGAAACAAACAUAUGGUAAAUAAUCAUGGUUUGAAGAAGUUGGCUUUUAAACCUUUGUCAGCUAAAGUCCUUAUAGCAGCUGUCACCAUAAGAACACCAAGAAGCAUCCCUAAAGAACCAAGUACGAGGUUGAAGCACCAAAUUAUACCCUUUGUACGAGGUUUCUUAAUAGCUAGCCACAUGAAACAAGGGUAUGCAUAUGUUACGGGCACAAGUGUGAUUCCACCAAGUAGAGCUGCUAGGCUUGGCAAGAAAGGGAACGCAACCGCUAUAAAAAAUGCUAACCCUCCAAAGAAUAAUCGAAAGCAUAUUCUCACCCAUUGUGGGCAUUUCUUAUUCUUUAUGCUCGUGUAUCUUAAUUCUAGGUUGUCAAAAACGGGCAUGGCAUACACUUGGAAGCUACACAAACAAUGUACUAUCACUAGAACAUAUAUUGCACCCAUUGAGAAUUUUGAUAAUUGAUUUUUGUGAAAUUGUCAGAACCCAAUUAACAAUCCUCGACCAUGUAUCUGAAAGAAACAUUCAUACGCAAACUGAAAUGUUAUUUAUUUAUAAAAAAAAUGUACAUUCAUUAAUAUAAAUAUAAUAAUAUUGUUUGAAAUAAAUAUUUUUUUGUUAGCACGUGUGCUUGCCUGAUUUCCAUAUGCCCAAAAUCCGACAAUUGCGAGGGGAAAAAUACACAUCGCAAUGAGUAUAUAUGAAAUGGUUACUCCUCUACGCAUCAAUUCUUUUGAUGUUUCCUUUAAUUUGGAAGGUAGUGUCCCCUGCGAAACAAAAAUCCAAAAUAGAGUUUUAAUAUAAAAGAAUAUCAUGUUGCAAUUUUUAAUCAUAGUAAUAAUAUUAUAUAUAAAAUGUAGUUGAAUUUGGAUAUGAUGAAGCAUAUACAAUUGAAUAUUAUAUAAUAAUAUUAUUAAUUACUUGCCUGUAUUUCUAGCACAACAUUGUGACCUCUGAAGGAAAGCACAAUAAUCCCAAUAGCAUUGAUAACAUCACUGAUCUUCACGAGGGUUGAUUCUUGUUGUGACACCAAUGUAGUGUAAGACACUCCCAUUGGUCUACCCUUAAGAGAAAGUGACCAAAAGAGUGUGCAGUAACUAAUUGCAGUUACAGCACCCACCAAAGAAACAGCUGCCACUGAGUUGAGGUUAGGAAGUUGAACAAUGAGAAUGGCCAAACAUGUAAAUACUAAGAACCACACCACCCCGCUUGGCGUGUGUGCCCCACACAUCUCCCCAUUAUCAUUUUCACAAAGAAUCUUGAAUAACAUCUUCAUGGUCCCACCACCGGUAAUUAUAAACAUUACGCAUGUACCUCCUGAUAGGUACAUUAUCGGAAAUAAUGCUGCUACUUUCCCUAAUGUUGAACCUAAAAAUUAAUAUGCAACCAUUAAUUUGCAUAUUGUAUUAGCUAUUGACGUUAAAUACAUAACUUGACUUACAAAAAUAAUUUACAAUAAAAAAAUAUAAUCAUAACCUAACUUAAAAACUACUUUCUUACACGAUAUCAAAAGCAUGACUCUAACACCACUCUUUAAUCUUGAUGAUGGCUUAUUUUUUUAUUCUCCAAAGAAUCUUUUUUUCUUUCCAAAAAAACUUAUUAUAAAACAAUACUUUUAAUUUUAAACAAAUAAAAACAAUAAUAUAUAUAUAUAUAUAUAUAUAUAACAAAAUAGUAAUAUUUUUUUUAAAAUAAAAUAAUAAUGUCAUAUUGAAAUAAAUUUACCAUAAUUCAUGUGAACAUAUUUACCAAAUUAAUUGAUGUCAACAUUUUGAAUUGAUGUCUAUGUACCAUUUUGCAGCAAAUUCAAUGUGAAAUGGUGUCCGAUUGUUCCAUAUAUCCCAGAAAGUUUGUCAUAGACAACCCAAUAAAAUUGUACAUAGUUCCUUCCGGAAUAUUAAUAUCAAACGGAGAAAGAAAACCAAGGUUGCUUCAAUUUUAUUACCUAGAAAUAUAAAUAUGAAACACAUUUAAUACACAACUAAUAUAAUUUAAAUUUUGAAUUUAUAAAAGAAAGAAUUAAACCUUGUCAUCCAUCAAAUCAUUUCCAUUGCAUAAAAUUUAUGUUUAAACCAAAUUCGAUGACUCAUUUAUUGGAGAAAUUGAAGCAACAAAAUCUGAUUUUUUUUUCCAAGACAUUAGAGAAAGAUAAACACACACACACAAAAAUGAAUGAUAUGUAUAAGGGAGACGCAAAAAAUGAGAGAUUAUCGAAGGAAAGUCUGAUGGCACUAAAAGAAUUCGUAAAAUAAAAUAAAUUUUUUAAUUAAAUUAAUUUAAAGCGGUGGUUGCUAGAAUAGUGUUUAAAAAACAAUUACCUUAAAAACUGUCAAUGUUUUGAAUUUAUGGGAAUGAAAUCAAUGAGUACGGAGAGGCUGUAAGCAAACUGAUUUCUAAUUCUCAUACCAUUGUACUAUUUUGCAAAUUCAAUUUGAAUUGGUGUCCGAUUGGUUGUUCUAUAUGCUCCAGAGUUAGACGCAAUACCAAGAGAAUGAAAGUUGUACACAACUCUCUCACGAAUAGUAGUCUCAAAUCGAAAAAUAAGAGUUUUUCGCAAUGUUGCUUGAAUAUUAUCACCCUAACAAUAUGAAACACAAUUUUGUUAAAUUAAUAACAUAACAAAUAAGUUUGUGUAUAAUUUAAAACUUUGAAUUUAUAAAAAAAAAUAUAUAUUAAACCUUGUCAUCCAUCAAUACCAUUUCCAUAGCAUAAAAUUUAUAGAUCAUGACGGAAAUAUCGCACAGCUCUAACAACCAAAUCCCAUAACUCCUUUUUUUUUGGAGAAAUUGAAGCAUCUGAUUUUUUUGUUCAGACAUUGGAGAACAAUAAAAUGAGAGAUUAUUGAGGAGAAAAAAUGAGAGAUUAUUGAGAAGAGACGGUUAACUGAGGACGAAAUUAAGAAGGAAAUAUGAAGACACCAAAAGAAUUAUUAAAAUAAAAAAAAAAGAAUAUAAAAUAAAUUUUUUAAUUAAAUUAAGUUGAAUCGGUGGUUGAUAAAGUCGUGUUUAAAAAAUAAUUUAUUUUUUAAUUUUUAAUUGGCCACUAAAUUCUCAAGUUGUAGUGUAUUGUAUUUUAUUUUUAAUUCAUUAUUCUUAUUUUUUUAAUUGGCCAUUAACUUCUCAACGGACGUAUCGUGUGUAAAGUCGUGAUGAAAUGGAACUUUACUUUUGUAAAAACAAAAAUCUGCACAAUGAGUUAUUAUUUCUAUUAAUAGAAACUUAAUAUUUUUCUAACACUCUGCCUAGUUGGCACGUGUCAAACUUGUCAAAUUAUCAAGUUUGUUUUAUUAUAAUGUAUAGAUUCCAUAACUCCUUUUUUGGAGAAAUUGAAGCAUCUGAUUUUUUUUGUUCAGACAUUGGAGAACUGAGAUAUUAUUAAGGAGAAAAAAUGAGAGAUUAUUGAGAAGAGACGGUUAACUGAAGACGAAAUUAAGAAGGAAAUCUGAAGACACCAAAAAAAUUAUUAAAAAAAAAAGAAUAUAAAAUAAUUUUUUUAAUUAAAUUAAGUUGAAUCGGUGGUUGAUAAAGUCGUGUUUAAAAAAUAAUUUAUUUUUUAAUUUUUAAUUGGCCACUAAAAAUGGUGUAUUGUAUUUUAUUUUUAAUUCAUUAUUUUAAUUUUUUUUAAUUGACCAUUAACUUCUCAACGGAGGUGUGUAAAGUCGUGAUGAAAUGAGACUUUACUUUUAUUGUAAAAACAAAAAUCUGCACAAUGAGUUAUUAUUUCUAUUAAUAGAAACUUAAUAUUUUCCUAACACUCUGUCUAGCUCACACGUGUCAAAUUUGUCAAAUUAUCAAAUUUGCUUUAUUAUAAUGUAUAGAUUGUUUCACUUUUAAGAGAUUUUGAUAAAUAAAUUAUUUUUUAGGUCUCUUUAGUUUUUCAAAACACUAUUUUUUGACAAAAAAGAAAAAGCAUUUCCCCAUUUGAAUUCUAAUAUGUUGUUUCUUGAAUUGUUUGAUUUCCUUCAAUAUGCACAAAUCAUAAUCAAGAAAACAUUUAAUUUGGAUGAUUAAAGUUCUCAAGAUUUAAAAAAAACAUGUGGCUACUUAUUACAUAGUUUCUAUCGAAGAGGUGCUUCGUUGCCCGAUGUAAGCCGCAGUUUAUGAAUUACAAGUUCCCCAUUUUUAAUCCUUCACUGGGUGUACCUCUAACAUUUUUCUUAGUAUUUGAUUUCAUUAUACUACCAGUUUCAUCAUGUUUAAGAAUUUUAUUAUAAUAAAAUAUGUUAUUUUAAUAUUAUGGUUUGGUAUUAAUAUUUUACUAUUUAAUUUUUGUUUAAAAAUAGUUUGAAUUUUUUACAUUCAAAUAUACGAGAUAUGUUAAAAAAAAUUCGUAGUGCCUAUUUGUAUUAAUGUGUAAUAGGAAAUUACUAAUAUUUGAUACAUUAAUUUGAAAACAGGAUAUUAGUUGUCCAAGUUGAUACAAUAUUUGGCUUAAAAUUUUUAUAGUUGUUAUCAAUGAAAAUUGAUAUAUAUAUAUAUAUAUAUAUAUAUAUAUAUAUAUAUAUAUAUANNNNNNNNNNNNNNNNNNNNNNNNNNNNUAUAUAUAUUAAUUUUUCUUAUUUGUUUACUUUUUUUUUACAAAUUUUUCUUUUUUAUUUUGGAGGUCGACAAAUAUUUCUCCCUUAUUAUUUGAACUUAUUAAUUACAUAAUUUAUUUUUCCAUGAGCAAAAUAGAUUUAGUUGGUCAAGGUAAAAUCUUCAAACUCAUCAUUUAAAAUUUUUGUUUUUGUAUUUUUUAUUUAUUUUACUAUAUAUUAUUGAAAAAAUUAUCCCCAUUAUUUUAACUUUUUUUGUUAAAUAAUUUUUUCUUCUAUGGACAAAAUAGAUUUAGUUGUUGAAAGUAAAGUCUUGAGUUUGAGUUGAAUUUAACAUUUGUUGAAUUUUUAUUCUCAUCGAAUAAGCCACAAUUCUCUCCAUUGAUACAUGUACAUCUUUAUGUAUAUGAGAUAAAAAUGUGUUAUGAGCUGUGUUUAUUCUACUUUGUAUCAUGGAAAUGUGUAGAGAUGAAAGAUGGGAAUUCAACUUUUUAUUGUACUUAGAUGAGUCUUCAACUUUUUUAUGAAGAUAAUUUUUGAUGGAGUGCAAACUCGAUGAAAGAUUAAAAAGACAUAUUGCUGAAAAGAAGUUGAAAAGGGGGAAGCUCUGUGUGGUGUGUUGCAUAGGAUUGCACGGUUGUUGCACAAACUUGAGUAGGAAAAAGAAAAUGUAGAGAAUCAAGAACAAAAACAUUUUGACUUUUGGAAUGUUGCUACCACUAUUUUUGGGGAAUUAAAUUUUAUCUUUCAUUUUUGUAUUUAAAUUAUAUUUUUUGUAAUCUAAUUUGCACAAGCAAACAAGAAAAAAGAGGCAUGAAUAUUCAUUUAAAAAAUAGUGGAUUUUUCUACUCAAACAAGUUUGGAUUUUUCUUUUUUUUUUUGUGGGUAGGGAGUGACCGGGAAAAACAUUCAUUUGGAACCCAUUGCCAUUAUUUAUAUGUUCAAGAGUUCAUUGGUCUUGGUAGAACAUCAACUAUGAUUUUAAAAGAUUACAAAAAUCGAAAUCACAGAGCAUAAACACAAGACGUUUGAUCAUAGAGUUCUGUAAAGUAUGUUUAAUCUCCGACUACAGAGUAGUUAUAGUUUCAUUUUAUUUCUAUGUGUUGAAUUAGAGUUUACAGUGUUACAAGUCUUAUACAAGAUUACAACAAUAUCCCAUAAUCAUACCGCGGGAGCUAUUGCCUCCCAAACCCCAAUCGUUCCAAAAAGCAAAUGAUUGGGUCAAAGCCAAGGGCAUGGAUGAAGUCCGCCUGUCCUCUUCACACUUGAUACUACUACCUAUUAGCCAUAUUCAACAAGUCUCACUGUCGCAUCGUGUUGAAUUACCUCUCUAUUGUUGCCAAGAGAAAGGACAACACACUUAAAGCUCAAAAUUAUAUUAUAUAUAAAUGGGCAUUCAGCAUGUGACAUCAAACAAAAUAAUCCUCAUGUAGAGAGUUAUUAAAAAAAAAAAAAAGGCUAAAUUAAUCAUUUGGGAUUAGGCACCAAUGACGAAUAAAUGAUAAUAUACAAAAUUAGCCAAGUGUUUGAAAGACAUUUUAAGGUUAUUUGAAGCAUAUAACGAAUAUAUUCCAUUUAAAAAAAAAGUUAUAGUGUUGGAUGACGACUUUAACUAAAUCCUACUUAUAAUUUCCAAAACGUCAAAAUUUGAUGAAGGCUAUGCAACAAUUAAUUGUCCUUACUUAUGUAAUUUCUAACAAGAUUAUACUUUCAAGAAGAACAUAAGACUUGAAACAAAUAUGUAUAUUCAAAUAAAUCAAAUGUUUCAAAUUUCUCCCAAUGGUGGUUGGUUAUAGGUGAUGCUGACAUUAGAGAUCACGAGGAUUGUGACCCAUAGAUACAAAAACUAGCAAAAAUGCUCAUUAAAAAACUUCCAACUUUGUCUUAUGGUUUGAUAAAUUUGUCUUAUCUCGAUAUGAUCAAUAACAUGUCAAAUGUAUAAUAUUUUAAAGAAAGAAUAAUUUUUAGCCCCUAUUUGUAAAAAUGGACUCUCUACCUUUGGUGAUAGGUGACUUUGGUGACUUUAGUAUAUUUUGGAGUAAAAUUGAUGAUUAAAAUUAAGUAAUAAAAGUUAUUUAGAUAAAAGAGAAUAAUUAAUUAAGAGAUACAUACAAAGUCACUAAAGGUAGGAGACUCAUAAGUAAAAAAUCUUAUCCACCAUUGCCGAAUUGGUUGGUAUAGUUAAUGAUCUUGUCAUGUAAAAAAUAUCUGAAAAGAAUAAAAUUUAUGUAGAACAUUAUAAUACUAUUUAAAAAUGUAAUAUGACAAGAUAAAUGCCAUUUGUCUUCAAUAUGUUAUUAGCCACUAAUUAUAUUAUCCACGAAAUAUUAUCAUUUUUAAUAUAUUUUUAUAUUUAAUUUGUGCUAGCUAAACAUCUUAAUUUAUAUACACAAUUGUAACCAAGUUUUAAUAGAUGGUUUAAUGAUUUGAAGUUUUGAUAUUAUUUCUUGAAAAAGAGAAAAGUAUAAUAGACAAUAAAUUUCUCUCUUUCAAUAAAUUUAAUAUUAUUAUAUAAAACUAAGAACCUCUAACUAAAAUAAAAGAGAUCUUGAAAAAAUUUCUAUCUAAUAUACUUAAUAAAUACACUUUUAGAAUUCGGAAGUAGAUUUCAUAUUUUUGUUUGAAAGUAUUUUAUUUUUAUAUAUUAUCAAAUAUUAAAUUUAAUGCCAAAAAAUGAAUAAAAUUUAAAAUAUUAAAAUGUAACGACAAUAUUGGAAAAGUGGUCCGAGUGUUGUAUUGAAUAUUGUACACAAUAUUUCUUGAUUGAUCGUUGAGAAUUGAGAAGAAGAAGCACGAAGACGCGUCGAUUUGUUCCUUUUGUAAACCCAACUUCGUUUCUUUUACUUCUCUUCUUCGAUACGAUCCAUUCAAUUCACUACCUACCUCACUUCACCCACCUUCCCUAUUCUCUCUUUCGCCGCAAAACAAACUCGCUCUCGCAGGUUCCAUCUCUCUCUCUCUCUCUCUCUCUAUGUUGUUUUCUUUUUACCCCUAAACUAGGAAAUUAUGAGCUUUAUUCCAUUUCUGGUUCUAAUAAUUAAUUAAUAUUGUUUUACUUGUCUUCCAUUUUCGACUGUUCUGAAUGAAGUUUUUGUUUAUGCCCUAAUCUUAGUGGAUGCAAUUGUCCCCAGAUUGUUGGAUCUUAAUUUGUUAUAUAUUUUAGAAUUUCUUUCGAUGAGUUUCAGAGGAAAAUUCAUUAGCACAAGUCUCUAGAUUUAUAGAAAUAUUUAAAAUUUCAAACUACAUGUAAUGGUUUUUUGUUGGUGUUUGAUUUGAUUGAGAUUUGGAUUUGGAUUAUAUUGGUAUUGAAUUAACUGAGUGUUUUUGUUGUUAAUUGUCAUCAUAAUCAAUGAUUUUAUUUUGAUUGAGUAGAAUUUCUGGUUUCUAACCCUUGAUUUUGUUUUAUUAACUAACUGGAAAUUUAGGAUAUCCUUUUAGGUUAAAUGGCUAGGAUCAAACCUCAGGCUCUGUUACAGCAAAGCAAAAGGAAGAAGGGACCUUCUCGUGUUAGCGCCACAACUAUUAUAUUUUACGCUUUGAUUCUUGUCUUGAUUGGUUUUUUCCUUUUGGCUACAUACAGACAUUGGUCCAACAGGUUAGUGGGAAAUUUUCUCUUCUAGAUGUGAAAGCAGUUUUGUUUGUGUGAGAAAUGAUUUGUGGUGUAUUUAUUCAGAAGAACAAUGAAAGAUAUCUUAAAAAGUAGUAAUACUAAAUUGAGCUCUAGCUUCAUCAAGACUCGCUGCUCUGAAUUACCUGAUAUUAUUUGAGAUGCUAUUGCUAGGGUAGAGGAAUGUCUGAAAAUUGUAUUUUGUUGCUAGAGGCUUUAUUUUACUACUAUCUUUUAUUGAACUUUCCCUGUCUUUUGUUGAGCAUGUACAGAAAGUUUUCCAUUGAAAAUAUUUUUAAAAAGUUGAGUUUGAAUGGAACAAGCAUUAGUUAAAUGAUUUCUGAUUAGGUCGUUAUAGGUUUUUAACAGGAUUUCUUUCAUUUUCUCAUAUAGAAUAGGAACCUCAGAUGAUCAAUAUCUGUUACCUAACAAUUCAUUUGUUUCCUGUUUUAAGGUCAAGAUUACAAUCAGAAGAUCACUUGUCAGUCUCUGAGGUACAUAUUUAAAUUCAUUAUAAAUGGUUUUUCAUGACUUCUCAGCCCUUUAAUAUUUUCUUGUUGUCCGAAACCCCUGCCCAUUGUAUACUCUCUUUUAUCGAAAGGGCUUAUAUUAUGUUAGUUUGAGUUUUCCCGUUGAGAUAGGGCUUGCUGCAAGAUCAAUAGUUUUUUCAUUUGUGAAUAGAAUUAUUAACUCAGUCAAACUACUUUGGUAGGGUGAAAAUAGUUUUGUUGACUCGAAGAAAUCGGAGCUACCUGGAUAUGCUGUAAGUUCAUCUUCCACACUGCUGUAAUUCCUUUUUUUGUUUAUCAUUCUUUAGUGAAAUUAGAAUGCUCGUUUAUUGAAAUUAUUAAAUGAAGAUUUAUCUUACUACCUGGUUUAUUUCUUUUUCAUUACUUAUUAUAGGUUUUAAAUACCUCUAAAGGGUCUAUAAUCGUAGAACUGUACAAGGACAGUGCUCCUGAAGCUGUUGAUGAAUUUAUUGAUUUGUGGUGAGUACUUGGUUUUCCUAAAAAAUAUUUAAUUUGGAAGCUGAUGAAUGGUUUGGGUUUGGUUAGACUUCAUUCUGGAAUAGAAAAAAUUGUCAACUUUUGAUAUUGUUGUUAUGUGAUAGACAAUAGGUGAUAUUUGUUUGGUGAUUUAAGUAUCCUAAGUUAUGUUUACACUACAGCUGUUAGGAUAUAGUAUAAUAGAUAUUAGGGUAGUUAAAGUAGUUAAUGGUUAUAGUUAGUUAGUUGGUUAUGAGGUAGUACGAACUCGUGUAUAAAUAGGAAGUUACAUAGUUAGUUGAGAUAUCCUUGAAUAAUGUAAUUGAUUAUUGAAUAGAGUAGAACUCUAUUGUGAAGGGGAAAUCCUUGGACAGGAACCCAAGACUUGGAUUCCUAAAGCUUUGUAUGGGAGUUUGAAGGAGAGGGAAGAGGAUGGCUUUGGAAAAAAAGGAAGGAAAGAAUAACUUUGGGAGGGAAGGGCUUUGGGGGGUUUGUUUUUGUUCAUAAUACAAAAUCCCCCUAAGUUGGGGGAACUCAAAAAUUGUAUUGGAGGAGGACUUAGAUUAAUUAUUCAAAUCAUUUCCACGUUAUUAUAAUAGUCUAUAAAUUAAAAAUAUAUUAAUCAUAAGCAUUCUUAUACCAUUGUCUACAAAAUAACUCUUUCAAAUAAUGUGGAAAAUUUCUCUCUAUUUUUCUAGUAUCUACUCCCUUCAAAGCCUUCCCGUCCAUCCCUCCAAACUCCCAAACAAAGCUUAAGAAAGAACACUUUUGUUAUGAACUAGGAGAGAAAUCUCUCCUCCAAGGUUUCCUUGAGACUAUAUUCUAUUCAACAAUUGAUUACCAUAUUCAAAGAUAUCUUAACAAAACUACAUAACUCCCUAUUUAUACACAAAAGUCAUAACUACCUCAUAACCAACUAACUAACUUUAACAACCAUUAACUACUCUAAUAUCUAUUAUACUAUAUCCUACCAACAUCACUUCUCUUUAUUUUUUUUUCGCCACCUAUAAUCUUAGCUAAAACAUACUUUGGUCCUUGCAAUUUGAAAUUGAAAGUCCUCUCUGUAUUCCAUAACAAUAUUUCACAUCAUCUCUUAUCUUUGGUAGGCUGAAGCUUGUUGUGAUAUUUUUCUGCAUUAGUUUCUCUGUAAAUGUAAUUGACAAUUAAUGAAAGUAUCAUCAGAUAUAUACCCAAAGAUAUUAGCUAGAUACAUGGUAAACUGGACAUAAUAUAGGUCAACUGCACACACACAUUCACAAAUUCUAAUAACUUCGAUAAAACGUGUCUAGACUAGACUUUGAAAAUUGUAGCAAUAACGUGCAGAAAAACAGCAACUUUCCUUUACCUAUAAGGUGUGGGUUAGAGUAUUAGGAUUAUUAGUGUGGACUUGUACAGUUGUACCACUACAUUUGUAAACUCUUAUAUUGCACAAGUUCACUACAUCACAAUUAUUCAGAAUCCCAUAGUGAAGUAUAUUAUCUCCUUCCUCCCUGUUAAAUUGAUAAAAUUCAACGAGAUGAGCUGUGUAACGUAUUUUAUAAAUUUUGCUAAAACAUUUCAGACAUUUAUACUUGUUGAUAUGGAAAUUACUUUUUCUUUGUUGCAUCUUUGUGCACUUACAGUUUGUGCCAGUAGAAUUGCUUAUCAUAGAAUAUAUUGGAGGGUUCUAAAAUCCAUGUGAGUGUGCUGGUUGUGAACAUUGAGUUGAGUGCUGCAACUUUGAGAGUUGCUAUAUUGCUUAAUAUAAGAUUACUGUUAUAGCAUCAUGAAAUGAACACGCCCUCUUGGGAAGAGGGCUGCAAGCAGGGCUGCUUUUGGGACCAGCAAUUGCUACAACUCUGACCCGGUUUGGCAAUACAUCUCUGGAGGUCUCAUUGUGUCAUUUCGCUUACAUAUUUCCUGUCUCUCACGAUUCCGUGGUGCUCUCUUUUUGCGAACAAAACUAACCCUCUCUUGUGCUCUGAUUUUGUGACCGAAACACAUCCUUCUUGUGCUCUGUUUUUGCAACCAGAACUCAUCCUCUCCCGUGCUCUGUUUUUUAUGAUCAAAAUCCUCUGCUUUUAUGCGUUGUUUUUGCUACUGAGAUCUGAUGUUUUGUGCUCUGUUUUUUGUGACCAACAUGUACUGUUUUUGUUCCUGAGAUUUUCACUGUGUAAUUAGAAUGUUUAAUUCUAAUUCCGCUGCUGUUGAAGGGGUAAUUGGCGUCGCCUUCUAUGUCCCUAGGGCUAUAAGCAAACCUAGCUUAAGUUGUUUUGUUUAUGACUCGUGAAAGUAUGAGUUAUGGGUUAUUUAAGACACUAUUUACUAACUUCCUUAUACUUGAAUUUAACUUAAAGUGUUUGAAUUUUAUGGUUUACUUUCUCUUACUUUUAUUAUUUUAUGCAUUAGUUUUAAUUUAUAUGCAUAUGACACAAGUUUUAUGAAUCUUGUAGACUCUUACGAUUUUUGUCACCAUUUCACAUUUUACCAAUUUACUACCCCUUCCCGAUUCUGCAUGGAAUGUUGGUUUUAACUACCUUACUUGCAUGAUAUGAAUGACAAAGUUUUGUUUGAUACAGCUCUAUGGGUAGUCUGAUAUUUCUAUAACAUUUUUGGUUUUAGUUUGUUUAGUCUGUUUAUUAUAAGUGGGUUGGUAAUGGUACAUGAAAUUUGUUUAAUCUAGUUGCUUAUGCUUCCUACUUAAUCCACAAUUUGUUUGCAGUCAAAAAGGGCACUUCAAAGGGAUGCUUUUUCAGCGCGUAAUUAAGCACUAUGUGAUUCAGGCAGGGGAUGGCCAAGGAACAGGAGCAGCUGAUUGGAACUUAAGAGGAAAGCAACCUACAAGGUUUUCUUAUUCUUUCAGUUUUUUCAGUUUGUAUAUACAGAUAUAGAUAUAGACAAUCCUGGUGAUGGUCUAGCAGUGAGUUGCAUAGUUUUUUAAUUAAUAGAUAUUACGAUGAUUCACCAGUAUGAAGCAUGAAGCAUUCAUGCUCGGAACAUCCAAGGGCAAACACACCAACAAAGUAUUUGAUCUUUUCAUUACAACUGCACCCAUACCAGAUCUAAAUGAGAAGCUUAUUGUGUUUGGGCAAGUCAUCAAGGGAGAGGAUGUUGUUCAGGUGAUUGACUUUGCUUUAUUCUCAUUGUCCUGUCUGCAACUGUGUGGAAAUUUGUUUUCCGUUUCCUUUUAUUACUCAUUUUAUCCUUUUUGUUUUAGUCAUGAAGGCUUUCUGCAUAUCUUUUCAUGUGUUGCUUUUAAUGGUUGUCGUUUUUUUCCAAUUAAUUUCUAUCAAUAAUUAAUCAAGGUUAAAUAUGUUGUGCGCAACCAAUAUUUCUUGAUUUAUCACUUAACAUGUAAUCAUGAUUGAUUUUGAAAAUUUUUGUAAUGAGCAUAAUAACGGUUCUAGAUGAUAGGUGUACCAUACCACAUCUGUAUAAAUGGAGUUAAUAUUCUGUGAUUGGAUGAUAUGUUAGGGAAGAAGAUUCACCAAACUGUUAGAAUAUCAGUUAUAAUACUUAUUUUUGUUGCUUCUGAGAAAUAAUGGUUUCUAAUAGUUACAAACUGUGUCAAAUCAAUGGAGUUUCAUGAUUAAGGUUGAUACUGAAUACUGCAUAACCCUGUCCCAGGAAAUCGAAGAAGUGGAUACCGAUGAACAUUACACUCCUAAAAUAUCUAUUGGUAUACUUGAUGUGACUCUCGAACAGAAGAUCUGAAGGCUCUCCACUAUAUCAUGAGCAUUAUGAGCGCUCACAUUUGCUUAUAACCUGUUUUGGUGCUCCGGUCAAAUCUAUUGUACAGGGAUGACGAACCUUGAGAAGUUCAUCUGAGGUGCAUCUAUCAAGUUUUUGAGCCUUGAUGUAGUUUCUGCUAUUGCUUUUCUAGUUAUGAACAGUGAAACAGGGAUUAUGCAAUCUCUUAUUCUUGCCUCUUUCUGUUACUUUAUUUGGUUUUUUUUUCUUCUUUUCUAUUUAAUUUGAUUUUUGAGAAGGAAAGGGGGUGGAUUUGUCUAUGCUUGUAAGAUUGGUUAUAUUACAUUUUCUUUUUUAUUUUAGCAUCACUCUUCAUUUGUAGCUUCGAUGAGUUCACAAGAACAUUUCACUACGAAGUUCAUUUAUAUUUUGUACUUUUCCUGAUGGCCAAUUUGGUAGCGAGUUAGAAUGCCAAAUUUUGUAAUCUUCUCUUUAAUGAUGCUCCAGUUACAUUUCAAUUUGGUUAUACUAGUCAUAACUAUAAACUACAUUAAGUUGUAGUAGUUGGAUUUAUUUCUGUUAAAAAUCAGAGCAUUGAUCAGAUUAUUCUUUAAGGGACAUUUUGAAGAGGCUAUUCAUACUUUUGAUAUACACUUCUAUAUGAAUUUAGAAGAGUUUAUACGAUUAAGAUGAAUGCACAGAUGAGCAUGCAAUCAGAAAAAGGAGCAAUUUCUUACCUUGCAUAUUUGUGAAUAGGGGGGUAUAUGUUAUUGUGUCUGGACCGUGUCUAUUUGUUGGAGGAUUUGCUCGCACAAAGCUACUUGUGUGCAUUAAAAAAUAUAUGUCAGAAGAAGUCAACUUUUUAAAUGAUUCUUAAUAUUUCGAGUUCAAGGGUUUAGUUUCAUAGUUGUACGAUGAUAUCUUAGUUCAUAAAAAAGCUACUUGUCGUGUCAUGUGCAUUAUGUACUUAUAGGUCUCUUUAUGAGAGGACAGUGCUAGUUUGUAUUGGACUUUAGGAAUUUUGUAUGCAUCUUCAUUCUUGGUACUUGAAUUUAUCUUUGGAAUAAUUGUUUAUCCAUGACUUUUCUUAGGGACGCAGCUGAGGAUAAUUGAGUGGGCCUAUUAAGAAGUAACUAUCAGCUACAAAGGGUUGGGCCCAACUUUUUCGACACACGUUUCUAAAAAAUCGAAUGGAAAUUUUGGAACUACGCUUUUGGACGGGAAAAAAUAUGGGUGUCUACUUUAUGAAGUAAUUUUGGGAGGGAACAAAAUUUCUCCCCAAGGAUCUGUACAAAAGAAAAUCCAAGGAUUCUUAGUCAUCCUCACUCUUAGAUUACUCCUAGAGCAUCUCCAAAGGCGAGCUCAAUAUCAAAUAGUACCCACUAACUAUCAUAAAUUUAUUAUUAUUAAUAAAUUAAUAUAAAAGGUAAUAAUUAUAAUUUUAUUAUUUUGAAAUUAUAAAAGUACCGUUAUUUUAUGAGAGAACUGUGAUGAUAGUUUGACACAACUUCAACGGUAAACUCGCCAAAAACUGAAUUUUAAGUUUAAGUAACUACAUGCAAACUUAUUUGACUACCAUUGAAAAUGCUCUUAGUUUUGGAUCGGCUAACUUCUCUUUCUAUUGAAAUAUAAAAUCUAAGGACAAUGAUGGAUAGAUAAUAAAUAUAUAUUUGAUAUCAUAGUAAAUUUAUUUGAAUUAUGUCUGACAUGUGAUUUUGUUUGAAUCACAGUAAUCAAUGUUUGCAUUAUAUACAGUUUAAAUAUUAAUUCAAAAAAAUUUGGUAGGGGUUGAUUUCUUAGUUUUCUUAUUUUUAAAAAUAUGUAAUAUACUUUCACAUUUUCACUAUAAAAUGUUAUCCAUUUCUUUAAAUUAAAAAGCCCCAUUUUCUUAAGCUUGAGACAUAUAUAUAUAAUAUUAAUUGAAUGGUUGGCAUGUGAAAUAUAAAAAAAAUGUGUUUUCAUCUUUAAAUAUGCAUGUCAUAAUUCCAGCAUAUUUUUAAGGAUGAGGGUUAGCAACUAACGUCCGAGUUUGAAUCUAACUGACAAUUAUAUGAAAAAAAUAUUUAUAUCUAAUAUUUAAUAAUAUUUUAAAUAUUUAUUUUCGGUGGAGUAAAUUUGAGGAAAAAAAUAUGUUAGCAAAAUAUACUCCUAUAAUUCAAAUAUAUUCACUAAAUUUUAUGAAUUCUAUAUAAUUUUGAUAGAAUCCACAUAAAUUUUAACUAACAAAUACAAUUUAUAAGAACAAAAAUAUUAUAUUAAACACAAUUCUUUUGACACAAAUGCAAGACACUGUAUUUGUACGGUUCUUUUUUUUCUUUUAAAAAACUCUUUUUUUGUCAUAAUCAUAGAGUACAAGUAUAUAUUUAUCUUAUUAACACUUUUGGGUAUUUCAUUAGCUCAUAAAAUAAGAAUCAUCAACUACUUUAUUUUACAUUUAUUGAUGACUCAAUCACUAACUUUAAUACCACAGGAUCAAGAAGUUAAACAGUUCUGAAGUUUGAAAAAUCCUCUCCUUAUUGUAUACGUUUUUCUUGCAAUACACUCAGCGGAAAAGCUUAACAACCUUAACUUUUUAAAUGCUAUCGUGUCUCGAAAAGAUUGUCCCAAUUCAGAAUUUUUUCUUGAAAGGCAAAUAAAAAUUAAUAACAUUACAUGCACCUAGUAAAACGCUAUGUAGAUCUUUUUUUUUCUCAUUUUAUAUAUAAAAAAAAAACAGUGUCGAACUCCCACAAAAUAAGAGAAAAUAUAAUAUCUAUUUCUUUUUCUUUUCUUAAGUUAUUUUCAACAGGUCGAAGGGUCAAGCACCGAAGCUAUGGCUUUAUACUUUAAAAUUUGGUCUAGAAAAAAACUUCACAAAUUUAAUUUAGUUACAAUAUAUAAUAUGAUAGUUUAAUUAUAUAUAUAGAGAUUCACAUAGCUCAUUUGUUCCAAAUAAGGGCUUAUGUUCGUUUUGACUCAAGUUAUAUUUUAGAUAAAGCUGUAUCAAAUAUUUUGGAAAAUCUUAAUAAAAAAAUAUUUUGGAAAAUCUUAAUUAAAAAUUAUUUUUUAUUUAAAUUGUAAAUAACAUUUAUAUUAAAAACAUAAAAGAAAUCUUGUAAAUAACACUAUUAACAUAUUGAAAAUCUGAAUCUUUUUUUCUUUUGAUCAAAAAAAUUUGGACCAUUUUUUCUUUCUUUCUAAAAUUUGAUCAUAUUUGUCGAUCCUAUAGUGCAUGAUGAAUUUUUAUUUCUUAGAAAUAUUUUUUGGAGUUUAAUAGUACUUUUAAAAACAAGAAGCCCAUGGCCAACCUUGAUCUAAGAUGCAACAAAAAUUUCUAUUUUAUUUAAAAAUAUCUCAUCAUAACAUUUGUUUUAACUUUUUAUUUUUUAUGUUGGGUCGACCUUAAAUCUAAAAUAAGAUGGAUUUGAGUAAUUUGAAGUUCGAACAAUGGCAACUACAAUUUGAACAAUCAUUAUUUCGGUCAAUAUUUAAAUUAAUAUUCUCUUGAACAAUUUAUCUUUAAUUAAAAUUUACUUAAUACUUUAUAAGAUAUCAUCUUCACACUAUGUAAAAAGAGAGAUAAAUUAACCCGAGAAUAGAAAAAAUUAUUGAGAAUUCAAAAUUAAAUUAUCUUUUUUUCAUUAAUUCAUAUUUAAUUUUUCCUAAAACCACUAAAAAUACUCUUGGUGGACAAGGACAGAGGGAAGGGGGACCGACAACUGCCACGAUCCCCCAAAUUUUAUAGGUUUUUUUUUUAUGUUAUAUAUUGUCAUUUUUACGCAAUUUUUAUAUAAAAUAUAGUUAAAUGUGUGUUUUGCUAAUUAUUUUAGUCUUUCAAUCUCUUUCAUUAGGUAGUUUAAUUCUCAAAUAUAUAUUUUAUUAAUCAAUUUAAUCUAUAAAAAUACUAACAAAAGAACGAUUGAAUGAUGUGUUUAAUUUUGAUAUAUUGAAGACAAUAACAAUCACAUUUCAUAUUUAAAAAAUCAAAAUUUUAUAUAUAAAUAUUGAAAUUUUUUAUCAAUAUGCUCCCGAAUAUUAAUUCUAAGCUCCACCAUGUCCAUGGACAACCACCCCAAGGAAAAUCCGGUGUGUAUUAAUUCUCUAAGGUUGACCUCUAUUGGCACUUAAAACAUGUAAGUUUGACUUUCUACUUCUAGCAUUGUGCAAACAUUACAUACUUGCAAAUCUUCGUCUCCAGAAAGCAUCAACAUCGUGAGUGUUAUAAUACAUAUAGAGGAGCCAUUGGGAAUUUAAUUUCUCUAUAAACAAAAGUAUCCAAUAAUUAUCUUAUUCUUUUAUUUUAUAGGCUACCUCCACAAGCACCCAAUUCCUAGUGGAAUUUGGACUUGGAAACAAAAGUAUAAAGAAUCUCACAUCAAAGUAGGAAACACAUCACAAUUAAAAAAAAAAAAAAGCAAAUUUAAAUUACCAAAAGCCCUAUAGCAAUGUGAGAUAACUCCUCCACAAAGAGAAAUUGAGUCAACAUGCUUUUAUUAUAAGUUGUGAUUACAUAAUAAUUUCUUUUUAUUUAUAUAAUUGUGAUUAUAUAAUAAUAAUGUAGACAAGCAACCUCCACUAGACCACAAAUUAUUUUAGUAAUUUAACAAUUCUUUUAGGUUUGGAUUUUUCAAUCUUCUAAAAGUGUUGAACAUUUUUUAUAAUUACUUAAAAGGUUGGCGUGCAAUAGCGAUUGAAUGAUGUGUUUAAUUUUGAUAUAUUGAAGACAAUAACAAUCACAUUUCAUAUUUAAAAAAUCAAAAUUUUAUAUAUAAAUAUUGAAAUUUUUUAUCAAUAUGCUCCCGAAUAUUAAUUCUAAGCUCCACCAUGUCCAUGGACAACCACCCCAAGGAAAAUCCGGUGUGUAUUAAUUCUCUAAGGUUGACCUCUAUUGGCACUUAAAACAUGUAAGUUUGACUUUCUACUUCUAGCAUUGUGCAAACAUUACAUACUUGCAAAUCUUCGUCUCCAGAAAGCAUCAACAUCGUGAGUGUUAUAAUACAUAUAGAGGAGCCAUUGGGAAUUUAAUUUCUCUAUAAACAAAAGUAUCCAAUAAUUAUCUUAUUCUUUUAUUUUAUAGGCUACCUCCACAAGCACCCAAUUCCUAGUGGAAUUUGGACUUGGAAACAAAAGUAUAAAGAAUCUCACAUCAAAGUAGGAAACACAUCACAAUUAAAAAAAAAAAAAAGCAAAUUUAAAUUACCAAAAGCCCUAUAGCAAUGUGAGAUAACUCCUCCACAAAGAGAAAUUGAGUCAACAUGCUUUUAUUAUAAGUUGUGAUUACAUAAUAAUUUCUUUUUAUUUAUAUAAUUGUGAUUAUAUAAUAAUAAUGUAGACAAGCAACCUCCACUAGACCACAAAUUAUUUUAGUAAUUUAACAAUUCUUUUAGGUUUGGAUUUUUCAAUCUUCUAAAAGUGUUGAACAUUUUUUAUAAUUACUUAAAAGGUUGGCGUGCAAUAGCUAUAUCCGAACUUGUCCACAUCUAAAUGUGUUUUUAGUUGAAAAGUAGAGGACUCGUGCUUUCUACUCACAGGUGCAAAAAAGGUUUUGUAAUUAAAAUUUUCUUUCUUAAAAAGAAAAUUAAAAAGCAUGUUAAUGUAGGACAAUUAACGGUCUCACUAUUACUCCGUUUAUUUAUUGGACGCCCUUAUCUAAUUUGGUUUUAGCUACUCAUAUCAAACGAUUUUUGUCUUAUUCACCUAAUUUGUUCUUUAUAUGGGAAGGUCGUUGUUUAUGAAAUCUUUCGUAAAUAAUCUAUGUUUAUUAAUAAUUUGAGUGCUUGGCUUAAUACUAUUGGAUGCUAAUGAGAAAUACUCCCCCCGGUGUUCAUGGAAUCAUAAAUCCAUGAAGUCAUGGAUAAGAGAAAGAGUACUUAUACAUAAACGCAUUUAAUUUUCUUACAUUUAUUUAUGCUUCAUUUCUUUUCUAUCCGUUUUUAUUGACAUUUCCUUAUCACAAUUAUCAAAUAAAAUUCUAUUAGUCUUUAAAUGUUUUGAGAAGAUCAAAUUGAGUUGGAAAAAAUAGAUAGAUUUUAACUAUUUUAGUUCGUACUUUUGAAUAUAAAUAAUUUAUUUGUUUUGCCAAAACCCAAAUUUAUUAAUCAUAGCGACAUAAAAUAUACCCACAAAAUUACACGAUUCAUCAAUACAACAUUUUAGUUAAAUUAGUACCCUUAAUAAAUUCAAUUGAGAAAAAAGAAAAACAUUGUUAGUAUAUACUAAUUUAUAAUGAUACACAAUAAAAGUAGUUAAUUUUAUUAUCUCAUCACACAAAUUAUAACUGUUAUCAUAAAAUAAUUUCAAAAUCAAUGAGUUAUAUUUACCGUCAACGUUAACGAUAGACAUCAAACAUGAAUAUUGAUUAAAUUCAAUUAGAUUCUAAAAGACUACAUUUACAUUAGUAUAUACUUCAAUAUACAAUUAGUAAUUUCUCCCCAACAUAAAAGAGAAGAUAAACCCAUGAUAAGUGUUAUAUUUCCCAACCUUUGGAUCAACUAAAAGUAUAUCCAUCAAAUUUUGUGCAGCUUGAAAGAAAUAAAAACACCACCAACAAGCAGCUUGUUUAAGCCUUAUGCUACACCACCUGAUAGUUGAUACAAGACUUCUCCUCUACACCUCCCAACCUCAAUUCAAUUUUCCAACACAGUCCACAUAACCCCUAUUCUAUUGUAGCACACAAAUCCUAGAAACACAAGAUGAAUUUUGAACCAUGCAAAUACACAAUAGUUGAAACUAGAAACCUUCCACCGAAACAAAUUUCCAUGAUUACAAUUUUGAGCAUUCCAUAAUGCCUAUAUACAAGCAAAUCAUAUUGUACACACCUUUUCUUCCAAGAACUUUCCCCCAUGUAUCAAACCCAAGAAAUUCCAAAGAUCAUCAUUUGCGUUAUGCAAAACAACACUCCUAACCACUUAAUUAGCUAUUUCAAACAAAACUCUAAAAAAAAAGGAUAAUAAAUAAAAAAUACUCGUCGAUAACUAAUAACUUUUAACAGAUAUAUGAUAGCUUAAACUAAUUGAGAGUUUGAUAAAAUUAACAAUUCAAUUAGCUUAAAUAUUAUAACAUGAAAAUUUUAAUUAAACUUUUUUUAUUAAUUAAUACUUAAAAUAUUUUAAAAGUAAUAAUUUAAAAUUUAUCAAUCUAAUAUACUUUUUAUAUAUUUAUCUAUUUUAUUUAUUUUAAAUUUAAAUAAAUGAAUAAAAUAUUAACUUUAAAAUAUUAAUUAUUUUAAAAUUUAAAUAAUUUAAUUUGUUUUAAUAGAUAAAUUAUAAAUUAUUUAAAUAUAUUUUAAAUAAUAUAAAUUAUUAUUUAAUUUAUUUGAAAUUUCUUAAAUUAUUUAUUUUAAAUUAUAAUAAAUAAAUUAUAAGAAUAAAAAAUAAUUUUAAUUACAAUAAUAAAUAUAAAAUUAGAAGAAAAAAAUAUUAGCUAUAACUCACAAACUGCUGGAAUUAACUUAUAAAAAAACCAUAUAAAUUAUAAACUCCUAAAUGACUGCUAACAUAUAUAAUUAUAUAAGUUAUACAUUUAUUUUUUGAUCUUGUCAAAAAAUCAUAUAUAAUUGUAUAUGAUUAAUGCCAAUUUAUUGCCACCUUUUUAUCAUGUGAUAUUUUAAUUAAUUCGAAAUAAGUGACAGUUUUCAAUUUUUAUCCAUAAAAUUUGAAUCCUAACUUUUAAUUAAAGAAAAACUCGUUACUACUUAACCGAUCAAAAUACGUUAGUCCCUUGAAUAUACUUUCAUUGUAAAGAAAAAAAAAUGAAAUUUCUGUGGAACACAUUCCACAAGAAUAUUGAUAAAAUAAAAGGGUAUGCAUUGUCUAUGAGUGUAAAAUAGUGUUACACUUUUUACCUUUACAAUAAAUUUCCAUUACACUCAAAUUCGUAACCCUUUCCGUUUCUUUCAGGCAGUUAGUAGUUUUCUUCCUUUGAUACAAGCACAUUAAUCUUCUUAAGUUACACGUAAAAGAUCAUAGUGCUAAUCAAUUCAACUAUCGCUAGAUCAUGUUUAAUUAAUUAAUUAAUUAUCAACCGUUUUAUAAUUGAACAGUGAAAAUAAAAAGGACGUAAAUGUUAAAGAAAAGCCACCCAACAUUUUAAAUUAGUGUAUAUGGUCUCUUAUCCAACCUUUUAUACAUGUCUUUCAAACGAAAUAUGCUCCUAUUAAAGUAUUAGCUAUUUGGUUCAUAAUGGGACACUUUCGAUAUUAAUUAUUAAUUAAUUAAUUUUGUUGUAAAGUGAAAUGGAUUAUGUGGCUCAGGAACAUCUGUUUGUAGUGGCGUGGAUGAUCUAAAGUUUGCUUUCUGGUCGAUCGAUAGAGCCAAUGAUCUCUGAGUCAUAUAUAAGAAACGCAUUUUUAAUUUAGUUUUUAAAAGAAUAAUAUUAUAAUAUAUAAACUAGCAACGGUCCCCUUAUUUCUUUACGUACUUUCGUAUUAUAUGGAUGUGGGGUGGUAGGUUAGCAGAAAUAAAAUGUUUUAUGCAUUAGAAUAUUAGAAUAUGAAUUUAAUUUACAUAUCUUUUUUAUUGUAAAUAUUUUUUAUACUAUUAAUUAAUUAUUACUGUUAAAUUAUUAAUAAUGUUUAAUUUUUAUUAUAAUUAUUUAUAAAAUUAUUUACAUAUAUAUAAUUGACUUUGAUUUAUUGAAUAUACAAAAUAUUUUGCAUGCAUUACUUGUUUGACUUUAUGUCUUGCACACACACACACUUUUAACCUAUCUAGCUUUAUCAAUUAUAUGUCAUGGACCUCAUGGUGUUGCUAUAAUUAUUUAUAUUUUCGGGUGAAGUUUUAUAUUAAUAUAAGGUCUUGUUUUUGUACAAAAUGAAUAUAAGGUGUUUAAGAUCAAUACAUGGCCGGUGCUUAUAAUUUGGGUGUUGUGGGCAAAUCAAAAAAAUGGUGCCCCUACACACAAAAAUUCAAAGUUUGUAUAAUUAUUUAAAGGUCAUUUUUUUUUUGUGAAAUUAUUAAUAAUUCAUUCAUAAUUAAUGUUCUUUAAAAAACUAUUUUCAAUUAAAAUUAAAAUAAGAUUAUUUAAUAUAUCUUGUAACAUAGUAAAACGUAAAUAAGAUUUUAAAAAAUUUAAUUUUGAAAAAUUUAUUUUAUAAAUGCAACUAUAAUAUGAAUAGUUAGUAUUAUUCAAUAAGAUAUCCAUACAUUAAGAAAAUAAUUAAAAGUCAUUAAAGAAUUCAAUAUCAUAUAGUUUGAUUUUGAUUCAACUGUUAAAACUUAUCUAACGGCUUUAAUAUCAUGUUUUAGACAAGAGAAUUAUCAUAUUUUGAACAAAUUUUAAAAUGUUUACGGUGUACUUUCAAGUUAUCACGUAAUGAUCUAAGUAUUUUCAUACUAAAAAUUCAAAAGUAUUUUCACAUAUGCUAUACAACUAAAAUCUUCUAUUAAGUGAGCUAAUUAUUUAAUCUACAAUAUAUAAAAUAUUAAUUAAAGAAGACUCCUGAGUAGACUCAAAGUUCACUUGUGUCUAUUGCAGAUAAUUUUUUAUGCAAAUUCAACGUUUUUGAGUAACCGCACAUUUAAUAUCCAUUUCAUUUGUAAUUUUUUCAGGACUAACAAUAACAUUUUCAAAAGCAGUUUCUCAAUAGUGUUUUAAAUACUUAAUUAAUCAUGUAUUUUAUUAGUUCUAUACCCACAUCAAUACGCAUGUAUUUUAUUUUUGUUGCAAACUUUUUCUAAUUUCAUUAACAAUAGUUAGCAACUCAAGCCAAAUAAUUAUUGCUAGUAAAAACUCAAAGUUCCAAAUUUCAUGAGUUGCUAAAGAUCCAUCUUCACUCUUAAUUUUUGGAUCAUUAUCUUCUUCAGCUUGUUGAAGUAAUGAUUCUCUUAUGUGUGAAACUUGAGUUUUCAUUGCAUAUAUAUAUUUUAUUCACACGACUCUUCCAACGUGUUUGUGACAAUGGUUUAACAGUUAAACCUUUCACAUUUUCUCUUAGAACUUUCUAAAGUAUUGUUGAAUGAGAAAAUACAAUAUAAAUAUAUUAUAUCACUCCAAGAUAUUAAUCUUUAUCUUUAGAACAAGAAUUUGCAAUAUCACAAAGUGUCAAGUUAAGGUUACAACGACCACAUCGUAGGUAUAGUGUUCUAGGAUUAAUAUAUAAUAAUUUUCUUUGUACACUUUAGUGUUUACCUUUAAAGUUUUUUAGAACAAAAAAUAUUGUUUUAAAUUUUUUUGGUAAAAACUUUUUUUUUAGAAUUUUAGAAUUCUAAAAAAUUUAAUUAUUUUUGAAUUUCUAUACAUUAUAUUUUUUUUUAUUCAUGAGACAUUAUACUUUAUAUAAAUAAAGCUUAAGACAAUUAUUUAUUUUAUCUUAAACGAAAUGUGAUAUAACUAUAAUUAAUUUACUCAUCUGCAAAAUUUUGUAUUGGAACUCGAUAUGUCCAAUCUAAGCAAUUGCUACCUGAGAUAGAAGUUAUGGACAAUUUUUUAGGCUUAAUUGCAGUUUUGAUCCCCCUAUUUUAAUUGAAUCGCAAAAGUAGUCCCCCCAUUUUGUUUCUCCCCAGUUUUAGUCCCCCAAGCAGAAUUUUGGUCCAAAACUUAAUGAAAUUUCAUUUUUUUUUGCAUUUAUUUAAGUCACACGAUGUCUCAAGAUCUCAUUUGCAACAAUUGUACUUGAAAUAUAUGCUCAUAAAUGGUGUAGUAUGACUUUAAAAACUAAAAUUUCGUCAAGUUUUGGACUAAAAUUCUGUUUGAGGGACCAAAACUGAGGAGAAACAAAAUGGAAGGACUACUUCCGCGAUUCAGCUAAAAUAGAAGGACCAAAACUACAAUUAAGUCAUUUUUUUAAUAAACAUAAUUUUAGAAAUCCCUACCAAACACUUUUUUUUUGGGUAAAAGCGAAAAGCCUAUGGCUCCUCCGAAACUAUUAUGGGAACACGUUUAUAUGUACACCCGUACAUUAAGUAGUGCUUACUUUGCAUUCAAAAUCUUGUUAAAUUAUUUAUUAAGUAAUUAUAAGCUUUUCGUUGAAUUCCACGAUGAAUAUAUAAAAGUGUUUAAUGUGAUACAUAAAACUUAAUUCAAUACUAAAAUGUCAGAUAUUUUUAUGAUGAACAACUUUUUAUGGACUAUAAUUUGAAAAUGGAAUUUCUAUUUUGUACGGAUAAAUUUAUUAGUGAUGUUUGUCAUUUCAUUUAUCUGGAAAAAAAAUGGUCAAUGUGAUUUUAAAUCACAAAGUUCUUUUACUUUAUAAACUAAUAUUUUAGAUUGAGCUUUUCUCAUGGAUAAACAAAUUUCAUUUUGUAAUUAAAUUAAAUUUUUAUUUUAUAUGUCACUUUUUAUAUUCUCAAAUACAGAUUCAAAUUCAUCAAUUUAAAUAUAUAAAAUAUACAUUUAAAUUAAAGACUUAAGAACAAAGAUGAAAAAAGAAGCCAACUUAAAAAAAAUAUCAUUAUCCACUUUUCGUUGGGAUGGUCGUAGAGCAUUAUUAUCCACUUUUAUUAAAAAAAUCAGGAUACAACCUGUAUUCAGUUAGGUCUAAUAAUUUAUUAGAAUUUAGAGCAAUUCAUUCCAAGUUACAACCGUGUGGAAAUUGAAUGAACCUAGCCCACCUCCCACAGUUUUAAUAUACUUCAAAUAUAUUUUUUUAUCUAAAAUAAUAUAUGUAUUUUUGGGGAAAUAUGGCAUCCACAAAGUCAUAGGAGUAGUGUAUUUUUGGAGAAGAGAAAAUUGUUUGUAGUUUAAGAAAUAUAAAAUUAAUUUGAUAUAUUUACAUGUCAUCAAUUAAAAUUGAUUUUGACUUUAUAAUUAAUUAUAGUCAUAAGUUAGAAUAUACAAGCAACAUUUGUUUUCACCGUGAAAACGAUGAGAUAUACCUUUAGAUUGAAUCUACAAUUUCAAAUUUCUUAGAAGAUGAGAUAUUUGAUCUCGAGCCGAAUAAUAUGUGCACAUGUAACUAAAUUUCUACAUAAUUUUUAACUUUAAAUGUGAUUUAUACUUCAACUCACUUUUAUGUAAAUGUAUCUAAUUAUAAAGUAUUUUUCAUUUAAUUUAUUUUUAACUAAAAAUAAUUUUACAAAAUUAAUUUAUUCAAAAUCAAAAUUUAUUGCAAGAAAUUCAAACAACAUUAGUAUUAUAAUCGGAUGUGACAUCAAUUUUACUACCGUUGUUACAAUAUUUAGGGUAACUUAUCUCCCAAAGGAUUUGCUUUUGAAGGGAGAGUGCAGGGGUUGUAAUCAACCAAUCUAUUAGUUAGGAAUAAUAUUUAACCAUAUUUUAGGUCCAUAAUUUGCAUCACAUUUGUAAUUUGGAGUCAAUCGGUCCUAGGUCCAUGUUACUAGGGUAAAAGUCGUAGGUUUAAACAACUUUUUUUUUUCUUCUAUAAAUAAUUUAUUUACAUUCAAUAAUUAAUAUAUAUAUAUAUAUAUAUAUAUAUAUAUAUAUAUAUAUAUAAAAUUUGACUCAUCUAAAGUGAUAAAUUAAGUAGUAAAGUUAGUGAAUCAAUGCUUAAUAUUAUAACUAUAUAUAAUUGAUUAUACAUGUGCAUAAAAUAACACUCAUUCAUUUAAUGAUCAAUAAUUAAUAUUAAUCAUUUUAUUUUAAUAGAGAACAAAAAUACAAAAUAACAAAAAUUUAAUUGGACUGUUCAACAUGCGUCCAACUCUUAAACCUCUGGAUUUUCCUUUUAACCUUGAGGACAAGCUGGUUCAAGUGAACCAGUCGCCAAUGAUCGAGAACAUACAUCUAAUCAAAUGAAUUAAUUAUUAGUUAAAAUAGUGUAUUUAGUAUCUUAAAGAUAUUAAUAGUUAUUUUAUAUUAAUAAGUUUUCUAAAAUGUUCUUAGGGUUCUUUAGAUUACGCCACAUGGAUGAUUAAGAUUUAUUUAAAAUAGUAUAUGUAAGUGUAAUAUAAUGUCUUCUUUUAGUAAUCAAUCAAUUAAGAAAAAUUGUUUUUUAAUUUAUUAGAUAGUCUCUUGUUUUUCCUUUUCUAGUUUAGAAACCCUAGUUUAGUUAAUCUUGAUAGAAAACUUUUUAUUAUAUUCUUUAAACUUUAAAGUGAGUUGAUCAUGUUAAAUGAGUCAAAGCUUAUAUUUAUGUUGUCUGAUUAUAAUAAUAAUUUAACACAAUUUAUUCUCCUUCUUUUUUUGUUGAAUUAAAAGUUUAUAUCAUAUAAAUCAUACAUGUUAAAUUUGACACAAAUUUAAAAUUAUUUAAUAUAAUAUUAAGAUAUAUUAAAAUUAACGUCUUAUACCCCUUUUAUGGAAUAUAAUUAAUGUUCAUAAAUUUCAAUAACAUAUCAAAUAUUUUUAAAUUUAUAUAAAAUUUUAUAUACAUGAUUUAUAUGAUAUAAACUUUCAAUACAAUCAAUAAAUUAAAAGAAAAAUUUAAAUUAAAAAAAUAUAGAGAAUUAAAAGGAUGAGACUCAAACUCGGGAGUAUGUCAAAGACAAGUUUUGUCUUCCUACUCCUCCAACCCCUAUCCCAUAUAAAAUGAAAUUUUGAUAUUGUUUCGAUGAUAAUUGAGUAUUUUCUCCCAUCAGACAAAAUUUAAAAUAUAUUAUAAUGGCUAAUAUAAUAAAAUCAAAACUAUUUUAGAAUAAUGAAAUGAAAAAUUAUUAAAAAUAAAUUUGAAUAUAUUAGAAAUUUAAAUUUUAAAUAUAUGAAAUAAUAUGAAUGUGUAUUAUAGACAUGAACAUCGAAGCCUAUAUUGGGCCGAAUUGCGGAACACGGCUUUCGGCCUUAUUAUCUAUUAAAACUUUGGCGUGGGUCCAAUGCUCAUUGGUAUUAAAGUGUCACUAACUCAAGUCUCAAUUAGUACCAACAAAAAUAAUCCAAGAUGGGUAAGUAUUGUUUUCUGAAGGCAAAUAACAACUAGCAUUAACACUACAUGGGGAGCUGGUUUGAUAUGCCCAACCAAGUUCUUCAUCUUUGGCUAAAAAAUUAAAUUGUGACCACCCACAUUUAAAUGUCUCUUAAUGUGUCUUGUCAAAAAAAAAAAAAGUCAGCCUAAUGUGAUACGUUAGUCACAAUGGUCCAACAUGGAGCGAAACUGGUAUUAAAAGAGAAAUAAAAAAGUAAAAAAUUGACAAAACUACUAACGUAUCUCAAUUUGCUUUUGUUAGGGACUAAAAAUAGUUAUUUUUUUGUCGAGGACUAAUAUAUUCUGUGUGUUUUUCGUGAGGAACCAAAAUGUUUCUUUACAACAUUUUAAAAGACAAAAAUACACAUAAUCGUUUAAAUUAGCUGAGCUCUGACUUAGCUAGGUAUUUUAAGUAUUUUCUUUCCAAUUUAGUCACUAAGUUACAUUCUGUAUAUAACAUUAGAUUAAUGUUAUUGUUUGUUUGCAAAAAUAUCAUUUUUUAGUAGUUCUAUUAAAAAAGAUGUCAUAUGACUAUUAGAUAUUGACAUGUGUGUAUUUAUGCUAACGUGACAAAUUAUUAAAAAAAAAAUACUUUUCAAUAUUUUAAUUUGGCUUUUCAUUAUCUAAAUUUUCAACUUCAGGUACUAGAUUACACGGGUUUGGAUGAUUCUUAGUAAAAUUAUAGGAUUUUUGAUAAAGAAAACCAAUAUUAAGAGCACACUUUUUAAAUUCAAUGCUUUCUUUCUUUUCCAAUUUAGAUGACUAUAAGAUUAAUUUCUAGGUAACAUGUUCAAAAAAAUGGAUUUAUUAUGCAUCAUGUUAAAACAACAAGAGAAUAAAAUAUAGAUAAAAACAUAAGAUCAAAAAAUAUAUAUAUAGAUAAAAACAUAAAAUAAUAAUAUACUAAUCAAAUGGAGAGUUUACAAUGAAUAUACAUAAAACUAAAAAAAUGAAAUAAUAGCACCUAAUUAAUAUAAGUUUAAAUAUUCAACUUAAAUUCUUAAUAUUAAAAUAUAUGUAUAGUACUAAAUAAUAAAUAACCUAAUUGGUUAUAAAAUAAAACCAGCAGCCCUAAACACCAUAGUUACCAACAUUAUAUGCAAAGUUAAGGCAAACCCAUGUUGGCCCAUCACCUUCUAUAUAUAAUAAUUGCCCACGAACGUUAGUGGAAAAAACUCAGGUUGCAUAUUUUAUUGUCUCCCCUAUAAUUGAUAUAACCUAAAAAUACUUAUACGUCACUUAAAUUUGAUCAAUCCCUUCCAUAAAUCUCCACCCCACAACAACAAUCAAAGACACAAAUUUUAAGAGAGAUUAUACAUAAAUACAUACAUCCAUCCCUACCUAGUUCCAUUCCACCAAUCAAAGGAAAAAAAUAAAUAGCUAGAGAGAUACAUAAAAGAUGAGUGGUGAAUGUGGUGGAAACACUAUUGCUACCUCUACUACCCCAUUAAAUUGGUGGUAUCUCCAAACAAAUUCUCUUUCUUCUAAUUGGAACGAUGUUAAACAUGCAUGGAACAACAACCAAAUGAAUCCUAAUUCUUCCUCUUCUUGUGAGGAUCAAGAUAUUUCUGUUUCUUCUACAUCUUUCACUAAUGCUUCCAACCAUUCAACCCUCACGGUUGAAUCUUCUCGACGAGUAUUCGUUGAUCAACCUCAUGCACCUUCCUCUAAUGAUUUCAUGGCUCAACAUGCUUCAGAUAAUCAACUUUGGAGUCAUGUUCUAUCGUAAGUUUCUAUAUAUCUUUUAUGAGCUAAAAAUCUUUAUAAAAAACGAAGUAUAAGAAGCUAUUGUUUCCAAACAACCUAAUAGCUAGGUUUCUAAACCAAUCACAAAAAAAAAAAAGAAAAUCAAUCUAGAUCCCUUCCUUUCCAUGCUAGACCAACACCAAGAAAUUAUUUUCAUUUGUACAACAAUAGUAAGUUUGUAUAUGUUAGUAGUUAUUUACAAAAAAAAGGAAAAUAAUUUGCUAAUAUGUAUAUGAAUAAGACUAUUUAUUAGACUAAUCUAAAUUAUAAAUAUAUAUAUUUAUAUUUGAUGUUUUUAGUGCUAUAUAAUUGACAUAGCUAGGCAAGAAAAAAAAAUAAGAGACUAAUCUUUUAGGUUAGAAAUUGGUGCAGUUAAAGGGUGUUUUAAGUUAGGUGUACAUAGUAGCUAAUAAUAGGGUUAAUGUAUUCUUAGUUUUUUUUUUUUUUUUUUCGCGCAAAUAAUAUUCUUCUCUAGGCUUUUUCUUUCCACUAUAUAUCUAACAGCUAUUAUGUGCACUAUAAUCAGUGUGUUCACACUAUAUAAACAACGAAAUCUUGAUUCUCUUCUACUUUCAUAUAGUUCCUUUUGUAUAUCCCUCCCUCCACACAACAAGAAAAAUCCUCUUGGAUUCUCUAAGAAAUAUAUGUUAUGUACCAUAUAAUUUAUGAUAUAUAUAUAUUUUUUGUAUAUAUAAUUAACUUUUUGUUUAUAUUAAGAUUGAUUUGAUAUAUUUUUUUAUUAAUCACAACUAACUUUCUUAUGAAUUAAUGUUUUUUAUAGAGGUGUUGGAACAAAUGGAGAGUUGCACAACAACCAAGAAAUUGGAGAGAACUUUUUGGAUGCACUUUCAUCUAAAACAAUGUUUGAACCAGCUUGUGACUAUUUGAAGAAACUUGAUACAAGUUGGGAAUAUAGUAAUCCAACUUCAUUCAAUAGUAAUUUUGAGAAGCACUUAAAUGGGUACAGUGAAGCACUUAUUGAGAAUAAUGAAAGGUUGACAAAAUUAUCCAAUCUUGUAAGCACUUGGUCUAUUGCCCCACCUGACCCUGAAGUUAGUAGCCAAUUUGAUCCACAAACAAACAACAUGUCUAAUAAUUUGAAUUCUUCUUCCAUGAAUCAUCACUUUUCACAAUCUAACCCUAGUUGUCUUUUCAAACCACCUUUUGAUGAUUCCACAUCAUGUACUAUUGUUGAUCAAGGAGUAGGUAAUAAAAAUUCAGGAUCAAUACUUUUUCCUAAUAUUUGCCAUGAUGAUGAUCAUGACAUGAAGGUUAAACAAGAAUUUAAUCAUCACCAUGCAAGUGAAGUUAUGCAUGGACAUGUGUUUGGAAAAUCAUUUAAUCCAAAUGGAUAUCUUGAUGGAUUUAACAAUAGUGUUAAUUCAGUUGGAGAAAGUGGAAAAUUUUAUCAAGGGUUGUCUAAUAAUAUUUCACCAUGUACAAAAAAUUUCUCAGAUGUUAUAUCAUUUAAUAGUAGGUUUGGAAGGCCAGUUAUUGGAAUCCAUGCACAAAGGCCAAACAUUAAAUAUUCAUCAAACUUAUCAGAAUCAAAGAAGCAGAGCCUUCACUCAUCAUCACAUGUGAGUUUAAUACAAUGGUUUAUCCAAAAAUAUAUACUCUCUUCUUUCUUAUUUAUUAUGUGUCGUUUUUUAAAAAAACAUUGUUGUUUUAAAAGUUUAAAUUAAUUAGUAUCAAUUAUUUUUAAUUAAUUGUAAAGAGAAAUAGUUGGAAUAAAAUGAUAAACAAUUAAGGGUAUUAUAAAAAAAUAAUUAUGCUUUGACAUGAUUUUUUCAAUAAAUAUUUUUUUGAAUGGAAAAAUUUUCAAUAAAAAUGUAUCCAAUUAAAUAUAUUCAGAUGAGAAAUAGUAAUGGAAGAGGAGAGGGGACAACACGUGAAAUAAAGAAGAAAAGAUCUGAAGAAUCAUCAGAGGCAAGUUUGAAGAAGACUAAACAAGAUACAUCAACAACUAAUUCUUCUUCAAAGGUACAUAUAUAUAAAUAUGUGUAAAGAAAAAGCAGAAAGUGGAAAACCUCUUUUUAUUUUGUUUACUAUACAUUAAGAAACUUCUAUUUAUUUGUUUAAAAGGUGCAGGCACCAAAAGUCAAGCUAGGAGAAAAGAUCACAGCCCUUCAACAAAUUGUGUCUCCUUUUGGAAAGGUUACUACUACAUAUUGCACUAAUUAAUCCUCACUCCUUUUUUUUUUUUCUCUUUUUUUUAUAUUAAAUAAUUAAUUCAUUGUGCUCUACUUUUUUCACUACCUACUACUUGAUAUUAAUAAUAAAUUAUUUUUUGUUGAAUUUCAGACAGAUACAGCAUCUGUUCUGUUUGAAGCAAUUGGGUACAUAAAGUUUCUUCAAGAACAAGUCCAGGUGGGUACCAUUAUGGAAAACUUUCCAUUCAUUAUCCAUUAUAUAUAUAUAUAUAUAUAUAUAUAUAUAUAUAUAUAUAUAUAUAUAUAUAUAUAUAUAUAAUUAUUGUUGCUGCAUGUUGCUUUUAUCCACACCUUUUCAUUUUUAAUGCAAUGAAAUCUCACUUCUAUGAUUUAUUCCUUCUCAAAAUAUUGGUUGAAUAAAUUAACAACUAUGUUGUGAUUACACAUUUAUCUUGAGUAUCACAUGAGCUUCAUGAACUAUAUAUUUAAUUAUGAGAUUUUAGAUAUUACUAGAGACCAUCUAAUUAGAAACUAAUUAUGCUUAAUUAACCAAAGGGUGCCUUUUUUUUUUGUCUUUGCAAUGAUGUGAUUGUUAAUGUUCAGAUGAUAUUUUAGGUUUAGUUUAUAUUUUGGGAAUGUAGAAGAUUUUAUUUUAUUUUUUAGAAAAUGUUUGUUGUUAUUUUUUUAUUGUGCAGGUAAACUUGUGACCUUUUUAUUACUCAAACUUUAAUGUUUCUUUUUUUCCAAAUUACUAAGUCACAUUAUCAUUUCGGAAGAAUUAAACAUCAUAUGGACUACAUUAUUCAAAUUGAUGUUCUAAUCCGGGGAAUGUAUGAUGUAAUGAAUUGGAACGUCCUUUAUACUCCAUAAAUUUAAAAAAAAAACAUUUUUUAAGUAGAAGAAAUUAAAGAUGCAGUUUCAAACACCAAAAUAAUUCAACUAUAUGCAAUGAAGAGUUGAGUUUAAUUUCUUUACAUGUAUAAUAUUUUGUAGUUACUGAGCAACCCUUACUUGAAGGCUAAUUCACACAAGGUAAUUAAAAAAGCAAUAUAUCUAUUAAAGUAUUAAGUAAUUUUUUAUAAAAGUAUUUAAAAUUUGAAGUCAUUAUUAAAAAUAUUGAUAUUGAUACGAAUCCAGGAUCCAAGGGGAAUAAGCUGUUUUGAUAGAAAAGAUCAUAAGGAGGAUGGAAAAAUGGACCUUAGGAGCAGAGGACUUUGUUUAGUUCCAACUUCAUGUACUCCUCUUGUAUACAGAGAGAAUAGUACUGGACCAGAUUACUGGACACCAGCUUAUAGAGGUUGUUUGUAUAGGUGAAUAAAUAUAUAUAUGCUUAUGUAUUAUGCCAUAAAUACUUAUAGUAUGUGGCUGUAUGUAUGCACUUUAAUUUUCUACAAAUCUUGGAAAAUUAUAAUUAUUAAGGUCUAGUGAAUAAAAUAUAUGUCAUAUUUCAUCAUCCUAAAUGUAAUUAUAUAUAUAUAUAUAUAUAUAGUCUUGAUGUAAUGCUUGGUUAAACGAGUAAACACAUUUUGAUUGACCUUCAAAGUUGGUAAAAAUCUCUCUUAAUUUUGACAUGUUCCCUAACAUGAACUUGUGACAUAAUUAAACAUAAAUUUUAUUUUAUUUUUGUCUUUAAUUUCUAUCGCCAACUCAUGCAUUUCUAAUAUUAUAAAUUACUUUUUUAAGGUGUACAUAGCUAUUUAAAAUCUCAUACAUGUAUAGUUCACGAAGCUUAUUAGAUAUUCAAGGAAAAUGUAUAAUGGCUCAAUGCGUCACUAUUGUUAAUUUUUUCAUUUUAAGAGGGAUUCAUUCUAUUAAAACAUAUAAGUUUAUCUAUCUAGAAUUUCAACAUUACCCCUCAGCAUACAAUGAAGAAGGAACUUAUUCAAAUUUAACAUUAUAUGGGUUGGUUGAUUCAAAAUGUGUAUAUUUUCUCUUAUUCGAUAUUCAUGUAAUUUUUUUUUUAUGAAACGAUAAAUUUCACCAUAAUUAAUUCACACAAAUGUGAGAUACGUACCAAAUUCGCAGAACAAGACGUUCAAUUUAACAAAAUCGAACAUUUGCCAAUUAAACUAAAACUUAAAGACAUUCAUGUAAAUCUUUCUUUUAGUUGAGCAUAUUAAUUAAGGUGUUCCUCAUUUCUAACAUGAGUUUGGUUGAGCAUAUUCCAUCAAUUAGUUGUAUUGAGUUGGAGUACUCAUUUUAGUGCAUAUUAUAGUAUAUGACAUCAUCAUUUUGCAAUGACAAAUGAAAAUACUAAUCAUAAGGUGAUUUGGUGUAAGUUUGUUGGAGUUUAAAAAGACCAUGAGUUUAACUAUAUUCUGUUAUAAGAUUAACAAUUAAUUAUUAACGUUAAUUUUUUUAAAAAUAUAUAUAAAUCAAAAUACUAAUCUUUAAUAUAGAAAUACAAUUUCUUGAUGGCAAACAGAUCGAAUUAGUGUUUGUGUGCUGAUUACAUGUUUCUACAUAAGAAAAUAUAUUCAAUAUAGUUAUAAACUGAUCAUGCCUAUAGUCAAUUGAGAGUUAGCUAAGUGUGCAUCACAUCAAAAACUUUUGUAAUAGUUGACAUUUUUUUAGUUUCUUUUGUCACUAAUUCUAAGUACUUAAGAAUUGUGAAUUCCUGGUAGAUUCUUCAUACAUAUAAAGUUAGCACUCCUUUCCUCUCUAUACUCUAUAGAUGAAUCUUUGAGUUUGUUGAAUGUUACAGCUUGCGUUUAUUUUAUUUUUUGACAGAAAAGCCUUUUAUUAUUAGCACCCAAAACUGUUUAAAACGGUGUAUUUUAAGUAUUUUAAAAACAAAUGUUAAAAAAUUAAGAAAUAGAAAUUUUGUAAUAAAAGACAAAAUUUUAAAAAAUUAAAUACACAAAUUUUAAAAUAGUAUUUCUAUAUUUAGUUUUUUUUAGUAGGUUGUUAUUAAAAUACUUAUUAAUUAGAAUUUUAUGAAUUGAAUCAUGUCAUGAAAGGAAAAAUAAAGCAUGAAUGGUGGAACAACAUGAAUGGUUUUUAACAUGUCCACACUCACACUCACACAUUGAACGAUUUAGGAUGAUAAAGAAUAGUAUUGAUUCUAGAAGCAAGAGGUGACGGAUACAAAAGUGAAGUGCAAAUGAAAAAUUGGUCAAAGGGGAGAUGAGCAAAAAAGCCAAUUGCAAGAUUGCUUUGGUGGUGCACUCAAACAUGAUCAGUCCUGCUUCUUAUAAUGACAACCAAGACAAACACACCAUGAAUACAUAUAUACAAAUUCUUUCACUUCAUUUUCUUAAAUAAUCGCAUCACAAAGUUUUAAAAACAUGUCAACUAAAUAGAUAAUUAAUUGGUACCUAUGACAAAAGGGUGUAUCGAUCUCAUAAAAGAAAAAUAAAUAUAAAAUUUAAAUCAUCAAAAGAAUAAAUAUGUCAAAAUAAUGUAGUCUUAAAUGAUUGAUAUUCAACUAAAUUUUAGGAUAUAGAAUUGUUAAAAAAAUAUAUAUUAUUUACUGAAUCGUCGUAACUUAUUUAAAAAUCUCGUUUUUACAUGUUACAUGUUAAUUUGAGAGACAUAUGAUAAUUUCAUCCAAUAUCAUAGUUUGUGAGUUUCAUAUCACUUAGGCUUAGUGGCUGAAUAUUGUGGUUCAUAAUCAAAGUACUAUUAAAUUUUAUUCACAAUUAGAAACAAAUUGAAAACAAAGCUGGUUACACAAACUCAAGAAGAGAAAAUUCAGCUUUUGUAGAUCCUUUUAUAUGUCUUUAUCACAUUCCAAUAAUGCCAACUUCGGGCCCUGAUUGAAGCAGGAAGUACCGCAGUACCAUAUGGGCUCUUAAAUCGUUGGGCAGAGGUUCAUUGGGCUUUAAUUCUUUUACUCCUUAAAGUCUAGUUUACUUCAGCUUUAGGUUGCAGUGGGUCUUGGUUUUUUUUUUUUUAAUUUAAAUAACUUGGGCCUAUUCUUAGUUUAGUUACGAGAAUUGUUAAAUGUGCCCGAUUAAUUGGAUAUUUAUUCCUAUACAUAAAAUCGUAUACAAUAAACUUGAAGUAUACUGUAUGAAAAAUGAAAUUGCGGGGAAGGAAUUGAGAGGAAAAAAAAUUAAUCAUUUUUGUCAUAGUAGGAAUUUGUAUCCUCUCAAUUCUAUUGUUCCUUGAUCUUUCUCAAUUCGUUGAAUUGAAAUUUUAUAUUAUAUAGAUCAUAUAUGUUAAUUGUUUUCACAAAUCUAAAAUUACUUAAUAUGUCAUUCAGACUCAUAACGGUUUCUAAAAAUAUAUAACACGUUAAUUUUGAUAUAUUUUAAUAUGUCAUCAAAUGAUUUUAUAUUUGAGUAAAAUUUUAGGUGUAUGAUAUAUAUGAUAUAAACUUCCAAUUCAAUAGAAAAAGAAAUUGAAAACAUAAAUAUAAAAUUAAAAGAAAUUGAGAGGAUUGAAAGAGAUUGAGAGGAUUCAAAUUCAUAAUUUGAGUAGAGGUACACCCUCAACUUUUUUUCUUGUAUAAUAUAAAAUUAUAUUAAUAAAAAAAAAUAGACGGAAAAAAAGCACAAAAACCUGGGGGACAUAAACCAAAUUUAAGAAGAAAAAAAAUACUAAUGUCAGGCGGGUUUUAUAGACAACCGUUAUCUUGAAAUUUUAGUUUCUUCUUUUAAGUACUUCAAUAAAACUAUUUUUCUUAUUUCAAAAUACGCAUAUCUAGUUGAGGGAUAUUUAACAACUCUCAGAGAUUAUACUAAUUUGACGGAUGAUACAUUAAUCUCUUUAGGAUUGAACUUUUUAAUCUAGCGAACUUUUGCUUGAUUUUUUUAUAAUUUUACUAUGGACAUAUCAAAAAAAUUUAGGCGGCUUAUUAAUUUUAUUAAAAACCAUUAAUGUUAGUAUGUUAAUUAUUAAUUUGUUAGUAUAUAGAAGAAGUGAGAAUUGACUUCCAAACCACCUUUAUCACUUCAUUUCUUAUUUUGAGAUUAUUAAUUUAACUCAUAAAUAUUUCUUAAGUACAACUCAUAUAGUAGCUACAACAAUAAUAAUUUAUAUGUUUAAAGAUGAGUUAAAAUCUAAGAUUUUUUUCUUUAUCGACAUUUAGCAUGUGUGAGUUUUUUUAGACUCUUUAGAAUAAUAAAAAAUUUACUUGUAAGCUUGUGUAGAACAUAUCUUGAUUCUUCCCUUCUCCUUGUUUUUGUUGUCUUUUAUUUAUUUUAAUUUAAUUGGUUAAUAAUACGUUUGUUAAUACUGUAACUAUAUAAUUAUAUAUAUAUAUAUAUAUAUAUAUAUAUAAAAGAUUGUUGGGUUGUGAGCAGAGUAUUCGUAUUAACAGAAUACGCUGACCAUUUUUGUUGACAAAACUUUCUAUACAAAGAAUUACGAAAGAAAUAUGAGAGAUCAUCACAUUAGAUUAAGAACAACUACAAAAAUGAGUUGAACACUACAUAUUUAUCUAAAAUCUUAAUAUAUUAAAUACAUAAUUCAUUUAAUUUAAAUAUUGUUCAACAUCUAAUUUUUCAUCUAAUGUAAAGUUAUUUACUCACACUUUAUACACCAACAAAUAUAAGAGUAUACAAUAUUUUUCUAAAAUAUUUCUAAUAUAUAUUGCUGUCAGCACAAGUUAGGUUUGUGUGUGAAUGGACCAAUUUUAAUUCUCGCUAAACACAUAAAUGAGAGAGUGAUUGAAGAGUUUUAAUGUAUGAUUGAUUUUGCAAUGUGAUUGAGAUGAGUUAAGCUUCUCUUGAGCAGUUCACUUCUGUAGAAUAAACAAUAUCAAUUAUUGAUGAUUAUAUAAUCAAUAAUUGAUUUUUUUUUACUUUAACAAUGAACCAAAUUUGAUUGAGAUAAUUGUGGUGAACCAUAAUUAGCAAAAUCAUGCCGUAAAACUAAAGAUGGGCAUAGUGUGACUUAACUCCAAAUUGAUGAAUAUUCUUAACUCCAGACCAAACCAUGACAAUACUCUAUUGUGCCAAUGGGGCAAAGAGCCUUGCGUUUAACUUUUUAAUAAUUUAUUUAAUUAUAUAAAAUUAUUUUUAACUUUAUAAUUAAUUUUAUAUCAAUUAACCAUGACUUUAGAGAUGAAACAACAAUGAUCUGAAAAUAUCCAAUUUGGCAUGAGAGAUCGAUGUUCUUGGUUAUGAAGAGAUUUUGACAGAACUAUACACUCCUUGAGUUCUUGGUGUAGUAAAGCCGCAGGCUCCUCUCCUUUAUUUAUUAAAAGGGUGAUUUAAGAUAAUUUUUUAAUAGAAAUAUGAUUUAAGAUACUUAACUUUUUUAUUUAUUCAAAAGAUGAUUUAAGAUAUUUUUAAAUCACUCUUUUAAAUUAUUUUAUUUAUUUAUUUUAUUUAAAUAAAUAUUUUUAUAUAUAUGUUUAAUUUUUUUUUUUUCGUAUUUUUUCUUAUGAUUUUGUCAUCUAAUUAAGUGUGACGUGGAUUUGUUCAACUUCAUGGUGCGAUGUUUUUUGUUUUGUCUAUUUUGUGCGAUGUUCAUAUAGACAAAUAAUUUAUUUUAUCAUUCAUACAUUUUGAACAAUGGACUUAUCCAUUAAACUUUGUAUUUUCUCAAUCUUAUAAAUAAUUUGUCAACACAUAGUUGAAUUGAUCAAAUUAGAGAUUACCUAUAGUCGAUAGGAGUGAACACCAAUAUUUUUAUUUUUUAUUUUUUAUGAUUGAUGACAUUAAAGAUUGUGAAUCUCGCAUUAUUCUUUACAGUCGGUUGAUGGAAAACAUUAAUUUGAUUAUUACAAUUAAGAUUUUGAUUUGAUUAAUUUUUAUUGACUUAUGUAAUUUUUAUGUGUACAGUGAAUAUAUUUUUUUGCCUUCUUAAUUGUUAAAUUUGAUUGUAUUGUUUUUAUGCAAUAAAAAAAUUAGACGGAGCAAAAAUUUGGACUUGAUGACACUCAUGCAAAUAGUUCUCCCUAUUACUUUCCUCUUCAAUUGAGUGAAUAUAUAAAUUAGUUAUUGAAAUUAUAAAUUGAGUUUUGCAAAUUGAUAAAUAUAACAUUAAAAUUGUAAAAUAUCAAUUAAAAUAAUCAAUUGAUAACCUUUUGUCAUUAGAUAUUUUAAUGUGGCACUGUAAUAGAAUAUGUGAUCUCAAAUCAAUGUCUUGUUUUCGUAAACAAAUUUGUCAAUGAAAUUUUUUCAUCUCAAAAACAAAUUUGUAAAUAACCGUAAUCAUGCAUGGACUAAUUAUUGACAAAUUAGUCUAUGAAAAAUUUAAAUUUCAUAAAAAAAAUUAGUUGAUGUUGUGAUUACAUUAAUAUGAGAUCAACGCAAAUAUUCAAUUAACAUGUCACAUUAUAACCUUUUACGAUAAAAAUUUUAAUAUGUAUUAUUUUAAUUAAUAUUUUAUAAUUUUAUAAAUAUAUUUACCAAUAUUUAAAAUUAAAUAACUAAUUUAACUUACAAUUUCAAUAAUUAAUUUACAUAUUCACUUAUUCAAUUUAAAAUAUGCCUUUUCAUUAAACUCUUUAAUAAUAACUAUUUGCCUUUUUUUUUAAAAAAAAAAAGAAUAUUUGUAGCUAAGAACAAUAAUAUAAAAGAAUACCUAGAUUUCAAACAUUAGAAACGGAUCCCCAUUGAAUACAUGAAAUCUAGACAAUAUGCCAAGUUCCCUGUGGGCUUAUCAUUGUUUAUCUAUUUUCUCUCCUAAGAGAGGGGUCCUCACUCACUCACUCACUAGGGACGUAUGGUUAUCCCCACACUCACAAACAUGAAUGGUCCACAUGUGGCCCAACUCCAUGUGUCAAUUCACCAUUUCAUGUCAUGUGACUUCCUUCCACAAUCCGCAUCCAUUCUUUUAUUUCUAAAUUCUCUCUUUCAGGAGACAUAUGUAUACUUUUUCAUUUCACUAAAUAUUUUAUUUCAUUUUUGAAAUUCUAGUACCAUAUUAGUCUAAUUCUCUAUAUCAUCAUAAGUCCAAUUUCAUCCUUAGAAUUACAAAAUAUUAAUUAAAUUAAGGUGAUUUCUUUGGUAUCUUUUAGGACAUGCAAUUGGAUAUCAAUACCCGCAAGGGAAUUCCAACAAUUUAUUUUUCCAAUACUUGAUUCUAUACUUCUAGCUACUCUUAUAUAAUAGUAAUAUAUAUUUGGUUGUUUGGGGUGGUAGAUACAAAAGACAAGCACAUACCUCCUCAAAAACAAAAACAAAAACAAAAAAGACAAGCACGUACAUGAUUUUAUGACCCGUUAUGAUGGAAUGUAGGCAUGGGAGGGAAAGGAAAUGGGAAACAGAGGAAAUUACAGAUUACUUGUAUUUAACAAUCUGCUUAACAUUGAGAGUGAAAUUGGAUGGCUUAAAAAGUGGGUUGAGAAAUUGACAUAGUAAGAUGGUACUUGAUUCCAUCAGUUAAUGGUCGGAAACCGUUCUUACUUCUUAAUCACCUUAUCUUAAUGUAGGAAUAGUACCAACAUUACACAAACUCCUCUUAAUUUGUUUUGUUCUUUUAAUUUGGAUGGAUAAGUAUUUAAGGUUUUCUUUUUGCAAAAAUUUCUAUUGUGUGUUUAGGCAAACAAAGAAAUUUAGUGGCCAAAGUCCUUCAUAAAUAUUGGUUGUCAUUAUUCUUCACUUGCAUAAACUUGAUUAUUCAUUAUUAGAUUGAAAGUUACUAUUAUAAGAAAUAUACAUAUUUAAUCUAAAAUAAGUGACAAGUAAAUGAGGUACAUCAAAUUCUAACUCGUUUAAUCCUUUUAAAAUGAAAAAUCUAACUCAAUUCAUAAAUAUUCGUAAAACGUUAAUUUUAAAAUAUUAAUGAUAUAUAAAAUAAUUUAAGACUAAUAUAAUUGUCUAUGUGAUAAUAAUUUUCAAUCUAUUAAUAGAUUUUAUCAUAUGAAUAGACGAUAAAGAUUAACACUAAAGUGUCAACACACACACACACAUAUAUAUAUAUAUAUAUAUAUAUGUUUUUCUGUUAAAUAAUUUGUCUAAUCAUGUUUUUCUGUUAAAUAAUUUGUCUAAUUGUUUUGAUAAGAGUAUAGUGUUUAAAAUUUUGUAUGUGUCUAAUUGUCUAAUUUUAUUUUUGGUCUUAAACUUCUAGUUUAUAGAAGAAAGGACAUUGCUAAUUAAGAGUUAACCUUUAUUCGACUUUUAGUAAAAAAAGAUUGAUAGAGAGUGUCUUUGAUGUGACAUCAUUUUUAAGAAUUCAAUUUUUUUACACCAAAAUCGAAAUGCAUCUUUAAUUUUGUAUUAAAGAAUAUUAGCGUUACAUACUAUUAUUUGUGUUCGAAAAAAUAGAAAUAAAAAAUAUAUUCAUCUUUUCUCUAUGUGAGUUUUUUUCUUCUCAAUUCGAUAUAAAGUAUGCAUGUAGCUUGGACUCAUUGAUAUACUUAGGAGGAGUCUUACUAGAUGCAAAUAUAGAUGUAUUUAUUUUGUGCUUAGGGCAACAAGAAACAAAGGUACAUCAUUUUGGCAAGUGUGACGUCUCUUUGCUUUUCUAGUAUGAGGUGUUAAAUGGGACAUCUUUUGGUCAUGUCUAAGAAUUUACUACCAUUGACUAGAGACUUUAGAAUGAGUGUAUUUUUUUGAACUUGACUCUUAAUGCAACAACUUUGGAACAGGGUAUUAAGGUAAUGCGAAAAUGAGUUUUGUUAAAGUCUAAUGUAUGGGUGUGUUUGUAUAUAUUACUGAUGUUGCUCUUUGAUGGAAAUAUAUAUAUAAUUAAAGAAGUUCAAAGAAUAUCUGAGUCCAAAUAGUAAAAUGACACAAGAAGAUAAAUUGUAAAUAUACAAACAAUUAAGAAAAGAAAGGCUACAAAAGCUAGGAAAACGAAAAGAAAAAUCAACAACAAAAAACCCUUCCUACCAAACAAAGUAGGAGAAAUAGAAGCAGACAUCUUCGAGCGAAGCAACUCAAAACAAUCGGCUAACAAACAAGCGCAUAUUGAUCCACUCCGACCAACACCCCAACCUUUAUCGCCCGUGCACAAAAUAGGUUAAACAACUUACUUAUACAAAGUACUAGAGUGGCCAAAAGCCUUACCUAAAAACCAUUUCCUUGAGGAAAAGUUUAUCUCGUCCACCAGUUGUUCAACAGUCAUUGUCUUUCCAUAGAAGACAAAAUCAUUACGAGACUUUUAGGUAUACAACACAAGCAAUCAUAUCAUGAGGUAAUGACAACUCCCACCCAAACCACCUAAAAAUAUUAUACCAAACCCGAAAGACAAAAUCACAAGUAACAUCGACUCCAUUCCAAAACAAACAAAUGAUGGGUUGCCUUCAUACAUGAACCACAUAAAACUUAUGUGACACCCAUAGAUUCUAUGAUAGCCCUCUGUCACAGAAGGUUAUGUUGAGUAGGUACCAUAUCUUGGUGUAAUAUACAUGAGAAGGCAACAUCCUUACAUAGAGCCCAACUCUUCCAAACCUUGACCAAAAUUUGGAUAUCAGCAUUGGAACAACUUCCCACACUCUAGAAGGCUUUUGGAUGCAAUGAAUAAGUCGUGCUUCCAAGUUCAUGAAUCCUCAAUUAAAGAGAGAGUUAUCUUAUGCAGAAUCACUACUAGAAAAACUUAUUUCAGCUGUCAUAGUUAGCGUCGGCCCCCGACCCAAACGCUAGUUAGCGUCGGUUUAACGUCAGUCAAGCGCGCGCUAGUAUGCCAAAUAUUUUUAUUUUAUUUUAUUUUAUUAAUAAUUAGCGUUGGAUUAGUCGAUGCUAAAUAAAAUAUGACAGACACUAGUUUUUUUAAGUCAGCAUGUUAGCGUCGGAUUGACCGACGCUAAAUUGUCUGAUUUGUAAAAAUAAUUUUUUUAAUCUUAUUUGAAAAAUUAAUAUUAUUUUUUCCACUAACCCACUCCACUCAUACCUCGUCACCUUAUCACUUUCGUCACCCACUCUGAACCCUCUCGAACCCGUCACCCACUAUGUCUUCGCCGUCAAUCUCGCCCUCUCGCUGCCUCAACGUAACUCUCACCCUUUUGUUGCCGCAUCACCGUUUCCCUCACCUCACACUCACUCUCACGGCUUCACCCUCACUCUCGUGACUUCACCUUUACCUAGUAGAAGGUGUUCUGCUAAAACUGUUUCAAAUGUUGGUCUUUUCUUUUUCCUAUUUCUCUUUGGAAAAUUGUUGGUAAUAAUAAUAACAGCGUUAAUUGCAGUGGUUUAAAUUGUAAGUGUUUUGAAUGUUUGAAAGGUAAGAAAUUGAGUAGAGAUUGCAUUGGUUUUUUUGAUUUGGUUAGUGGUUAUGAGAAUUUAAGAUAUGUUAAAGCAAAAACUAAAAAUGGUUUUUUGGUUGAUGAUGUUUUAGCAUUAGGUGGAAGUGGUGGAAUUAGAAUAGGGUUUGAUAUUGGUGGUGGUUAUGGAUCUUUUGCUGCUAUAAUGGUUGAGAAAAUUGUUGAUGUGAUUACCAAUAUCUUAAUGUUGAUGCACCAUUUAGUGAAUUCAUUGCAGCAAGAUGGCUUUUUCCAAUUUACUUAAGCUUAGAUCAUAUGUUUCCAUUUUAUGACAAUGUGUUUGAUUUGAUUCAUGCUUCAAGUGCAUUGGAUGUGUUGAGGGAAACCUGAAAAGUUGGAGUUUUUAAUGUUUGACAUCAACCGAGUUUUGCGGGCAAGUGGUUUGUUUUGGCUUGAUAACUUCUUUUGUGCUAGUGAAGAGAAGAAACAAACUUUAACAAGGUUGAUUGAAAGGUUUGGAUAUAAGAAGUUGAAAUGGGUUGUCGGGGAGAAGGUUGAUAGUGUGGGGUUGGGAAAAUUGGAAGUUGUGUUGUCGGUUGUUCUUCACAAACUUGUUAGAGGUUAAAGGUUUUUAGGCAGUUAAACAACAAAUAGCAACAAGUGAGUGAAUAAUUUUGAUUCUGAUAUAUCUCUUUCGCACCUAAUUUGUGCGAAGGAAUCAUUUUUGAUAUCAUCAAGUCCUAUAAGAAUUGUUGCCUUGCCAAUUGUAGACCAACAUUUUAAGGUGACAUAUAUGAUUCCUGCAUUUUAAGUUAUAUUCUUUAUCUUGUUGUGUAUUUUUGUACUAGAUGUGUUAGUUGAUAAAUUGUUAGAAAAUGGAAAGAAAAAAAUAAUAAUGAAUUACAUUUGUUAUGUUUCUGCUUGUGAAGUUGUCAUUAUUUAUCUUACUUAUGUUAGUAUUUUCUUCGUAUUCAUAUUUGAAUCCAAGUCGUUUAACUCCUUCAAUUCUUUGAACCCUUAGCUUAAACCACUCGAGCUUCCCUGCUCCUUCAACUCUACGUGUCAUUGUUAGUUUCUCAACUGAUACAACUGCUAUUUUAGGCGCGACCACUGCAUCCAAUUAAGUGAUAAUACCUAAUUACCUACCAAACAAGAAUGUGAUCAUUGACUUGCAAAUCUAUUUUCUUGUUGAACCUACUCAUUGUUCUAAACCAAGAUUCUGAUUAGUCAACUCACAAGAAUGUAUGAUUGCUAACAACGUGUUUUGAUAUUAUAAAUAAAGUUGACUUUUAUUUUACUGUAGCGUUGGUGUCUUUGACGCUAACUAUUUUAUUGACUACAACUUGUUGACUUUAGCGUCGACCAUUCAACGCAAUUGAAGUUUUUCAAAUGACGUGUCACCGGAUAUAACUAGCGUCAGAUGCUCUAUUCUUAUUUGCAGCGUCAACUAAGAGUGGGUAUGGUCGACGCUAAUAUAACAUCACAUGACAUUUAGCCGACGCUAUAUAUUAACUUCGAUUGUUUUAGCCUAGGCCCGACACCGAUGCUAAAUCAACGUUAGCGUCGAUUUUUGACCUAUUAGCAUGAGAUUUUGACUGACGUUAAAUUCAACUUUUCAAGUAGUGAAUAGUGACCAAUUAUCCAAUAUAUAUAUAUAUAUAUAUAUAUAUAUAUAUAUAUAUAUAUAUUAUUUACAUUGUUUAGUUUGUUAACUAACUAGUUAAUAUUAUUGUUAAUUAAUUAGUUAUUAUUUUAUACUAGUUAAUUAUUUAUUUAAUUGACUAUAUAUAUUAUAUUAAUUAACUAUUGUACUUAUAUAAUUAAUAUGUCCUAAUAAUAUCCUACUCCCAGACAAACAAACCUCCCCUCUAUAUCAACUUCCAAAUAACCCAUGUUACUAAAGUCAAGUUGAUUCAAAAAUUUGAAAAAGUCUUUGAAAUUGUAUUUGUAAGGACAAAUUCUACUGAUCAUUGUGCAUGGAGUAUUAGACAUAUUUUACAUUUACUUUUUCUUAUGAGCAACAAUCAAUUAAAAAAUAGUACAAAUGGGGUAUUUGAGUUAGUCUCUUGAACUCUGUUCAUAUCCAUAAUAUUCAUAUUUUGCCGUUCAAAAAACACUAAAAAAAGAUAUAGAGUAGGAUGGGCUAAAAAAUACCAAAGAUAUUUUUAUAAGAAAAACAUAGUUGGACCCAUUAUAAAAGCCUAAAGUUAAUCACCAAAGAAAUUGUGUAGAUUCUAGUUGUUGGUAAUAAGAUACGAAAUAAGUUGUUAUCAAUCAUCUUUUCAAAAAAAAAAAUGAAAUUACGAAAUAAUUAAGAGUAAGGAAUACGGGGGUCGGUGGCCCCAAGCCAUCAUCUAUGAAGGACACAGUAGCCUGUGCAACAACAGCAUAUAUAACAGUGACAUUUAUUACCCUCCAAUUCAUCACUCUUCACUCUUUGCUAUACCAACUUUUUAUUUUACCAUGCAAAAUUAAUUAAUUAUUUAAAUUUAAUUUACAUAUAUUGAUAGAAAUAAAAAAAAUAUUUUAUAUUACCAGUCUAUCAUAUUAUUAUUUUAAAAAUAAUAAUUAUAUAAAUUAAAUAUUUUUAAAUAUUAAAUAAUUGUGAUUUUAGUAUAUAAAUUAAAUUCUAAUUAAUUUUCUAUUACAAAUUAAACGAAGAUAGAGAUAUUGUUAUAUUAUAUGCUAGGGGCCUAUGGGUGGACAAGCAUGCAUGUAAAUUAAGUAUAUAUUUUAUUUAUUUAUUUAUUUGUUUAUUUAUUUAUUCAGAUGACACCAAAUGAUUGAGGAAUAUAACAAGAGAGAGUAGCUAAAUUUUAUGCACAACAAAACAAUAGCCAGAAGAUAAAUAGGUAUGUACACAAAUACAGAGUGAAUAUUAUUGUUUUCUUCUCCUCGUCUCUUCAUUAAGAUCCUUUCUUCUUGGUUCCAUUUGAGUCUUCUUCUUUUUUUCUUCUUAUCACAAGAGAAAAAUCAAACAUAUAUAUAAUUCAAGGUCCUUCUUAAUUUCUUCUUCUUCUUUUUUUUUUUUUAAUUUAAUUUAACCUCUUUUAAUUUGUUAUCUUUCCAUGAGACAAGGAAACAUGUUAUUGAAUUUUUUUUUUCUCUUUUAGUAUAAGGAUUCAAACAAAUAUUUGAUAGGUUUAACUUUUAGUUCAACAAUUUUCAGAUUGCAAAAUAAAUAUGGCGGCUGCUUCCUCAUCUACAUCAUUUUUGGGAAUAAGAGAAGAAAAUCAAAGUCAGAUAACAAAUCUUCAUCAUCUUCACCAUCAUCAAUCCAUCACUACUUCUGCUACUUCAUCAGCUCCUCCAACAACAAUUCCUCCAAAGAAAAGAAGAAAUCAACCUGGAACACCAAGCAAGUAGCUUAAUUAAUUAGUUUAUAAUUUUAUUACUUAAUUAGAAACACACACACAUGCACACACCCUUUACUAUUUUUUUUUUUUUGUUAUAUAAAAACAAAGAUAAUGAAAACCCUAAAUCAUGAAUAUGAAUUAGAGUUAUCAAUUCCUUUUACUAAAAAAUAUAAGAACUAUAUGAUUGGAGUGCAUGCAAUUUCCUCCAAGUUUAAUGAUUCUCAAAAUCAUGAGACUUUAGGUUUUAUUAAUUUUUUAAUGAUUUUUCUAACUUCUAUUUUUUUUUACUACUAUUAGAAAUUUAGAAUGAGUAUAUGGCUUUUAAAAUGUAAAAAAGAGAGUGAGGUAGUUCUUCAGUUCAUGGUGCAUAUUCAAUUUUAGCAAGUAAUUAAAUCAUACAAUUUAAUAAUAUUUUGCUUAAAAGAAUAGUUUUAUAAUAUUAAAUCAUAAAAUAUUAAUUUGUUGUUUGGCAUUUUUGAUGGUAAAAAGAUCCAGAUGCAGAGGUAAUAGCACUAUCUCCGAAGACACUAAUGGCAACAAAUAGAUUUAUAUGUGAGGUUUGCAAUAAAGGGUUUCAAAGGGAGCAAAAUCUUCAACUUCAUAGAAGAGGACACAAUCUUCCUUGGAAGCUAAAACAAAAGUCUAACAAAGAGCCAAAGAGAAAGGUUUAUUUGUGUCCUGAGCCCACUUGCGUCCAUCAUGAUCCUUCAAGGGCUUUAGGAGACCUAACUGGCAUCAAAAAGCACUACUCUCGUAAGCACGGUGAGAAGAAGUGGAAAUGUGAAAAGUGCUCAAAGAAAUAUGCUGUUCAAUCUGAUUGGAAAGCUCAUUCUAAGACUUGUGGUACUAGAGAAUAUAGAUGUGAUUGUGGCACCCUCUUCUCAAGGUAAUUCAUUCAUCAUCAACUUUAUACAUCUCACUCUUUCUAUUAUUAUAAUUCCCACAAAUUCAAUGUAAAAUCAUAUAAGUAUAUUCAUCAUUAUAAAAGUUAGGGUUCCUUAAGGUUUGGUUUUUGAUUACUUAUAGUUAACUAUUUUUUAUAAAUGGCAUAACAAAAUGUAAACUAAGUUUUUUUAUUCAUAUAAACUAAAUAUUUUUUUGGCAGCUUCUUCUUCAUGUAUCUGAGUUAGAGUACUCUAUAUACUCUUUAAUUUAUAAAUAUAUUUUUGCAUUUAAAAUAAUAUAUAUAAUAAGUUGAAAACUAAUUUUGAUAAUAAAAUACAAGUAAAAAACAGAAAAGUAAAAUGUGAACAAGAGCCACAUUUCAUUUCUUAUCCCAAAAAAAGUGAACAAGAGCUUUCAUCCUUUCCCUGUUAGUUUGUGUUUGGGUGUUAGUGGAGGUGUAUAUUGUAUGGCAGGAAGAGACUGCAUGCACGUGAGUACACUGUUCAAAUAUAGUACAAAAAUUGAAAUGUUUUGAGAAAGGAAAAUAAAAAUUCAACUUUGGUUAUUGGGAACAGUGUCCAUAUAUAUAUAUAUACACACAUAGAUAUCCUUAUUCCCAUUCACGUGUAGUGUAACAACAUUAUAAGGGUAGUGAUACUGGGUUUGUUCUCACAUGAGUUGGAAUGGAAGUGUUGGUUUUUGUUUUUUUUUUUUUUCUUCUUGUUGGCUAUUUGUAGUGGUUCAAAUAAAUUUUCAGGUACUUUCUUGCAAUGGGUCCAAUUGGCCUAAUUAAUUCUCUUCACUGGCUCCAUAUUCCUUCAAUUUUUAAUUACUAAAACAAAUUCUCUUCAUUAAUUGGCCAAUCUAUAUAGUCAUGUUUGUUUCUCAUAGAUUUGCUAGCAAUUAUUUUGAUAAAUAAAUUCUCUUGGUAGAAUAUAGACAAAUAUUGAGGUUGCUAGCAUUUAUUGAGCUGGACCCAUAUUGGAGUUUUUGAAUAUUGACUUUCAUCAAAGUUGCAAAUAAUUCUCUCUUUUAUUGAUCAAAGAAAGACCUCAAAGUGGCAUUUUGAUUUAGAAUUCUUGGUUUGUUUCAUAUUUUGGCAUAAUCCCAUGGGCCCUCUACUUCUAUUGUAGUUUUCUUAAUUUUAACAUAGUAGUAGUUUCAAUUAAAGUCACAAUAAAUUUCAUUUCACUUAAAUCAACCUUCAUUUUCAUUUUUUACUAGUGGCUACCCGACCCAUUUUAAUUUUUUAAGUUUUAGGUUAUAGAUUAAACUAUAUCAUUUAGUAUGGUUAUUUUAUUACUAUAUUCUUAAUUUAAAUUAGGAUCAGUUUAAAUUUAAUUUUUUAAGAUUGAUUUAAAAAUUAGAUUUCUUUAAAAUUUAAAUUUGGAUUAGAUCAAAUUUGAAAUGAGGAUUUAAUUUAAUUAUUUGAUUAGGUAAAGAAGGAUAAAAUUAUAAACAAAUAGAGUUUAAGUGAUGGAUAAAAAUUGAAAACAAAAAAAAAGUUAUAUACAAAACUUGAUAUAAUGAUAUGGGUGUAGAUAUCUAGAAUAAUUGCUCUGGAAUUCAUUACCAAUAAUCCUCACAAAAAAUAGGUGACAACUUUCAUAAUCUGCAAUUUUGUUAGGUAUAUAUAGUGAUUAAUUAUUGAAAGUCACGUGACAUUUUUAUAUUCAAUUAUUUUUAAUUAUUUUUAAAAUGUGAGACUAAUUUUGCUUUAUGGACACCGCUACCCAUGUUUUUUUUUAUAGAUACCAUAUAAUUACCUACAAAUAUUUAUAUAGUUUUCUAAUUUAAUUAAUCUAAUUAUGUGGUCAUUAGUUUUUUUACAAUAUAUAGUUGAUGACUGCCUUGUGAAUACCAGGAAUAUAUAUAAUUGAAAGAAAUAUAAAGUCACAUUCUUGUCAUAAUUAAUUUAGGUCUUACUUGAUACUCCACGUGAUAAAUUCAGUUUUAUGUUUCCCUAAUUAAUUAAGGUGAAUUUCUAGAACUAUAUACAAUGGUGGUUUAAUAUGCUAGAUAUAUAUAUGAUGUGAAAGGACAUAUACAUAUAUUAAUUUGUUCCCUUAAACUUUGGUGCAGGCGUGACAGUUUCAUCACUCAUAGAGCAUUUUGUGAUGCAUUAGCACAAGAGAGUUCAAGACACCCUAACCCUUUUGGUACUCACUUAUAUGGCACAAACACAAACCACAUGAGUUUAGGUCUAUCCCAAGUUGGUUCUCAAAUCUCCCAAUUGCAAAAUCAAAACCAAACAUCCAACACUAACAACAACAUUUUGCGACUUGGAUCAACACAACCAAAGUUUGAACCCUUAAUCUCUCACUCUUCAUUAAUUGGACACUCAAUUCCAUCUUCACCAUUCUUCAUGACUGAUAUUCCAAAUCAAUCAUCCUUUGAAGAACAACAAUUCUCAAACAAACAACUACAUGGUCUAAUGCAACUUCCUGAUCUUCAAGGCAACACAAAUAAUUCUUCCAAUAUUUUCAACCUCAUGAAUAUCCAUGAACAUCAUCAAUUCAACAACAACAUUAAUACUAGUAACCAAGGAACAACACUUUACAAUAUUAACAACAACCCUCUUAUAAGUGAUCAUCAACUCUUUGUGAAUUCAAUGCAACAACAAGAAUCUCCUCACAUGUCAGCCACUGCAUUGCUUCAAAAAGCUGCUCAAAUUGGUUCUACUUCAACCAACAACAAAGGUACUUCUUUACUAAGAGGAAUGUGUACUACUUCUUCAACUAAUAAUAUUAAUGAUGAUAAUCAUAACAUUAAUGCAACUUUUGGAAGAAGUUCAAGUAUGGAGGAAAAUGAGCAUCACAACAAUGAACUUCAUGGAUUGAUAAACUCUUUUGCAAAUGGGAACACAUCCAUAUUUGGAAAUGUGCAAGGGAAUGAUAAGUUAACUUUAGAUUUUCUUGGUGUUGGAGGAAUGGUGAGAAACAUGAGUGGUGGAUUUUCAUCACAAAGUGAACAACAUGGCAUCAAUACUACGAGUGUGGUAUCUUUGAAUGCUGACGUAAAAUUACCACAUUCGAAUCAACGUUUUGGAAGUUCAAAUAUGAUGCAAUGAGGAAAAAGCAAGGUUAGGGUGAGAGAAAAAUAUUGCUUGUUCUAUGUGAUUAAGUAAGUACUAAACAUGUUUAAAGCUUUUUAUUUUAUUUUUGUUUCCUUAAAAGAAGUGUACUUAAUUAGUUUAUUGUUAAAUUAGGGUUCCAAUUCUAGAAAUUUUAGUUACAAUAUUUGUAUUUUUGUUGAACACAUCCCUUUCCCAACUCUCGCUCUCUCUUUGAGUGUGAUGUGAUAGAGAUAUAAUAAAUUCACUGUUUCAUUGAAUUUCAUGCUAGAGCUUGAGAUAAUUAAAGUUAAUUUAAUUUAAGACGGUAAAAUGUAAAACAUAAUAUUGGUAAAUAAAGCCAAGUUGUGUACAAAAGUUCACCAAACGAAGAUCGAUGUUGGCUUUCUCUUAUGUUAAGAAUCUUCACGUUUUGGCUAUAUUCCAAUGGAAACGACAAAGCCUCAUUUCCCUUCAAUUUCAUCUUUGUUUUUUAUGCGACGUACAAACUUUUAAAUUAAGCAAGAUAUUUUGUAUUGUUCACCUAAUAUAUACAUUACUUUUUUUAUAAUUUAAAGAAUGCGUUAUUAAAUUAAUUCCAAUAGUAACCAACAUUCUAAAACAAUCUUUUAUUCAUAUAGCAUGAGAUGCAUGCCGAGGAACAAUCAAUUAUAAUACUUUAAAUAUAUAUUAAAAUAAUACUGUAUUAAUUAAUAUAUAAAAAAACACUCGAAUGAAAUAAUAAUAAUAAUAAUAGUUUUUUCUCUUUCAGUUUAAUCAGAUGUCAUAAAUUCAAAUAAAUGUUUUUUAUAAUUUUAAUUUUUAUUUACAUGAUUAAAUAAAUGAUUCCAUAAGAUCGAGCCUAGAUAUAACCAAGCCCAUUCCCAUGCAGAUAUUUGAGGUGGGUUUGAAAGUUGCAUGGUGUAACUGUAAGGGUAAGGUAGUGUGGUGGUGUUGCUAUAUAUCGAUUUAGGGUUAGGUCUAACGUCAUUAUUGAACACUGCUAAGCAUGCAAUGCAAUGGAACACAAACAAUAGUGUCUGUAAAUGUUCGUUAUUGUAAUUAUUAGUAAACUUUGUGUGACACUUUUGUCGCACUCAUUUGCUUCUUCACAUGGGAAUGGAAAAUCAUCCGUCCGUGACUACCAACCAAUCUACUCAUUUCAUUUCGUCUUCUCUUCCGUACUAUUUUUCUAACUUCAAUAACUCACUCAUACAUACUUCUUAUUACUUCAUCAAAUAAAAAUUAACUUCUACCUAUAAACUUCUAAUUAAUGAGAUUAAAAAUAGUCUCUCUAUAUACAGAAUUAUACUACAUUUUUAUCGAGAAAAGUCAAUUAAAAGGGGAGUCUACAGGGGCAGUUAAAUCACUACACGAAGGUUUUGUAGAGUUAAUUUUAGAAAUUAAUCUAAAAAAGUGACAUUAAAGUGUGAUUUGAUUGAAUUUACGUGUAAAAAAAACUAUACGUAGUGCAUGAAAAUUAAUCUCGUGCUAAAAAAAAUAUUUACAAAAUUCUCUAUUUAUUUUGAAAAAUUUAGAGGAUUGUCAAUUUCACUUGGGCCACUUGACUAGGUCAAACAAACAUAUUGUGAUUAAUAUUUUAUUUUGUACAUGUGAUGUUGGGUCAUAAGAGUGGUGUCAUCACAUUAGAUUUAGAGUAAUCAUAUAAGUGAAUUAGACAUAAUAUUUUCACUCAAAAUCUUAGAAGAUAUUGAGUAAAUGAACCCUCUUAUAAAGUAAUCAAUGUUCAUUCUUUUAUUCAAUGUGAGACUUUUAUUCGCAUUUCACAAACCAACAAUCUACAUCCUUAAGUGUGAGUCAAUUCAUUCAUUUGAGUAUACUACUUCUCUAGCGUGGAAAUUUUUCUAUCUAUGUUCAUUUGCAUUGUCGUUUGCACUCAAUAUCAAUGGGACAUACCACAUCUCAGGAAAUCUUUUAACAUAAUUUGGACACACAACAUAUUUUAAUGUAAAACCAACACCCUAAUUUAUUUUUGCUUAGACAUAAAACAGCGAAUUCUGAUUAAAACUUAAAAUCUACAAGCACACAAAUUUAUGAUACAGCAAAUAUAAUGCGCUUAGAUUACUUAAAGCCCAAAUUAUAUCACUUGGGCCGGUGCUAUUGGUUGUUCUCUUGUGAUUUCUAGGCAAGUUAAUUAAGUUAUUCCAUUUUGGGUUCUGCAUAUAUUAUGAAUCUAUCAUCAUUUGACACACAAAAAAAAAAAGAGAGAGAAAAAUUUGUUUGAUUAGAUGAGCUGUUGCAAUCCUUUAGGCAAAUAAACACCAAUAAGCCUUUUGGAAAAUUAUACCCCCAUACCACUUUCAUUAAUUUAUAUUAUUACCUUCAUAUUUUAUCUAAAUUAUCCAUUUUACCCUUCAUAUUAUAAAAAAUCAAAAAACUAUUCUACCUCAUUAGAUGCAAUUUGUAUUUUGGAAAACUCGAUUUUUGAAUUCUCAUUGUAAUUUGGAAAACUCAAAUUUUAUAUUUUAUAUUUUUGAUGAUUUUUUUAGUAAUUUUAUUAAAAUACUUUAAUAAAAUUUAAAAGACACGCAUUAAAAUUCAUCUUAGACUCCAUAUGUGUUAGGUUGGUCAUACCUCUAGUUCACUGCGUUUCAGAAUUCGGCAUAUGCACAAACAAAAUACGGUAUUGAUCCACAUACAAGAAAUUUCAGCAAUAACCUUUUUAUAAUAUAUUGAUCAAUUAAUUACUUAUCCUAUGAUAUUAAAGAUUAUACGUUGUCAAAGUAAAGAUAUUUUACACUAUCAAUAAAUUGAAAGUUGUCAAUAUAUCAAUAUUUAUAGUUAUGGAAUCAUUAUAAAUUAGAUAAUCAUUUCCAAUUGAAGAUAAUAUCAUUAGUUUUUUUUUAUUAAAGAAUGGUAGAGAUUAUAAGAUAUGUGUGAAUAAUUAUUUUUGAAAAUUCAAGUACGACUUUGAAGCUUCACAUGUUAAGAUAAUAUAUAAAAUAAAAAACCCAUAACAUAUUGUAAUAAAUUUUUAGUAAAGAUAGAGUGACCUGUUUUGAGUAAAAUAAAGGCCCACACUUGUCUUCCUUGUUUUUUUAGCUCUUCUAGCCCACAUAACUGGAAUUAAAAUUGACUUUUUUUUUUUAAAAGUAAAUCAAUGUAUCUCUCGCGUGUAAUUUCAAAGAUUAAUUAUUCGAUUAUUUUGUAAGAAUAUUUUUUUAUUUUUAUCUUUUAAAAUUUGUGUUAACUUGUUAGCAAAGAGGAUGUGAUACUCAUGAAAUAAAUAUUUAUAUGUAUCUUUUUUUCUUAUAACUGAUGGUAAUACAAUUAUAAUUAACUCACACAACUAUGAAAGGUUUAAUAAAAAAUAUCAACAUUUGUUAGUUGAGCUAGAACUUAAUAUGUAUUUCUAAAAUAAUGAAAAUGACAUAAUUGUUUUCAUUAAUUGCAAAUUGAAUUAGAUAGAUAAAUAAAUUGAAUGACAUCAUAUAUAAUAAUUAGUAACAUAUUAAAAAUUAUUAAUAAUAAUAUGAAGUACUCCUAACAAAUAUCAAUUAUAUUUGGAACAUAUGGAAUUCCAAAAAUAAGAACUUGAAGUACAAAAGAGGAGCUAUUAUUAAUAAGAAGUUAAUUCCCUUUCUUUACCCUAAAUUAAUAAUAAUAAUACUAAGUAGUCCUAACAAAUAUCAAAUAUAUUUGGAACAUAUGAAAUUUCAAAAACACAAAAUAAUAAAAUAUAUAUUAAGUAAUAUUUAAAAUUAAAAACCAACAAUCUUAUAUUGCAACAAUGUUUAGAAGUGAUACGUACUUUAUUUUGAAAAGUAGAAGUUUUAUAUUAUAUUAUAGAUUUUGAAGACAAAAAAGAUUAUGUCCAUUAUAUAACUUUAAUCAAUAUAUUAUUUUUUUUUACCAAAAUAUUUGAUAAUAUAUAAUACUAUGAGUCAUGAAGGAUUGAGAUAAUUAUCAUUAUUCAUAGUAUAGUUACAGUUAACACAUAAGUGGAUUGAAAAUUGCAUUAUACCAAAAUUUUAUGGCAUUAAAAUUUCUCUUUUUUGAAAUGAGACUCUUUUAUUCACACUUAAUAUAUCAAUUCAAAUAUUUAUUAACUUUUAAUUGACAUACACCCAUAAUAAAUGAUACAAAAAUCAGAUUAAAAAAAUUAUACAAGAAUCACGAAAACCCUAUUAUAAUAGGCCCAAUUAAGCAUUAUCUUAAAAUAUUUUUUCAAUAUUUUGUCGAGCUACAAAAGUAGAUCCGAUCAAGAUGUCAACUAAAGUUGGUGAAAUGACGAAAAAGAUUCCCAAUUGAAGAUUUUAUUAACUUUGAUGAUGGUUUUUUUAAAAGAGUUUUUAGUGGCAAUAAGUUUACACACAUUAGACAUAGUGAAGAGGAAUAAUCCAAGUUCAAAAUUUUAGUUUUUUGAAUUUCAUACUAUUGUUUAUGAUUGUAGAGUCUGCUUAUUUUAAGGAACAUUUUUCUAUAUUUAAUAUUGUUGUUUAAUUAUAAAACUCUUAUAUCGUUUUCAAUAUCUAUUCUUUUUUUAAAAUAUUUAUACAGCAUAUGCCAAAAACCGUUUUUUAAUCAGAAAGAGGCAAAAACAAGAUUGCAUUGGUUUAGUCAUCACCUACUCCAUUGUUAUUAUUUGUAGAAAUAUUGAUAAUAGAACGUGAAAUUGUGUUCUAUCUGUCUCACAUGCAAGUGGACAAGACUAUAGGUGUCACACAAUAUGUUAUAUUAAUUAAUUUAGUAUUAUUAUAUAUUAAAGGUCAAUUAACUGAUAUACUUUUGAGUUGUAUGUUUUUUUUUCCGAAAAAAUCAACCAACAUGCUUUGCCUUUUUUCCGCUAACAAGAACGAUUUUACUCAUCAAUCAAUUUUUAAGACUAAAACUUGAGUACAAAUGGUACUCGAGGUCAAGGAACCGACAUGCAUUGUGCCUCCAAAGUCAAGACCCAAUUUAAGAUAGACAUCUGUUUUUAUCGUAUCCUACAUCUUUUUGGUUUUCCGAAAAAAAUUAAUGAAUAAUAUUAAUAACAUAUUUUUUUUAAAAUUUUGUAUUAGUUAAAAUAAAUGUGAUUUUUUUUAAAAAAUAAUUAAUUAAUUUUAAUAUAAUUAAAAAAUUUAAAACAAAACGUUUAAAUUAAUAAUAUCAGGAACUUUGACAAAUAAACAUAAAUUUUAUUAAAUUUAUAUAGGAUAUAUAAAAGUAUAUUGUUGACAUUUUUCAAAAGUGAUUGUUUAGAAUAAAAUAUGAGCAAAAUUAUUUUAUAUAUUUUUAAGUGAAAUAUAAGUAGAUAAAUCAACAAUUGUAUAAUAAUAUUUAAAAUAUCUUUUAACUAAUUUAAUUUUUUUAUUUGAGAUUAUGAGCUUAAUUUUUUAUUAAAAUUAUGUAGAUUAAAUAUAAUCAAUUAUUUUUAUGUAUAGUUUAUUUAUUUUUUAUUUAUAUUUAUAAUUUAUUUUAGAGGAAGUAUGUUUGUUAAGUACAGAUGAGAGAAAACUUUAAACUUAGAUUAUAUCAAUGCAUUCUCGAAAAUAAGAACAAAAUAAUUCAUUCAUGUAAUAUAACAACCAAAUAAUUAAAAGACACUUCGUUGAUUUUUCAACUAAUAGUUGUAAACUAAUUUCUGUAAUAAAAAAAAAUAAAAAGUAAAAAACUAAUAAUUCUGAUUUCAUAUUUACGUUUUAAAGUGAAUUUCUCGUAGAAUUUUUUUUAUCUACCGGUACUAACUAUUAAUUAAUCUAAAAUCAUGUGCACAUCUAAAGUAGAUUUGGGAAGUAAUAUUAGCUAGGUUCCUUAUUAAGAGUAUUACUUCACACAUAUUAUUAAGAAAAUCACAUAGUAUGCUAAAUUUAUCUGUUUUUAUUGAAAGUAUAUGAAAUUUGUCUAUUUUAUAUAUAAUUUUAUAAAACUAUUUGUCACUAAAUGAUAUAUUAAACAAUGACACCAAAUUAAUAAAUUAGAGACAUUUUUAUCCAAAGUUAAAUGUAGUUUUUUCCUUUCAAUUUUAUCCUUUGUUGAAACUCUUUCAUUUAUAAUUUUAUCUUUCUUUAUUAAUCUAAAUAAUAAAAUAAUUUUUAAAAAUAUUAAAUGAUUAUAUAAAAGGAUAUUAAGUUUUGAUGCAAUAUUUUAUUUCAAUUUUAAUUUAACCUAUCUUAUCAUACUUUUAUCAUUCUUUAAUAAUAAUAAUCAAAUAAUUGAAUUUUAUAAAUAAUAGUAUAAAAUUUGUAACUUCUAUUUUUAUCAACAAAAGCAGACAAAUGUGCACGUCAAUAUCGUUUGCAUGCUAGUAAAAAAGAAAAGUAAUACAUCUUAUAAUAUUUAAAAAACUUAUAUUUAAAGAAAAAAUAUUUUUCAAUAGAUAUUUAUAUAUAAAGAUAGAGAGAUAAAAACAAUUGAAAACAGUUAAAAGACACUUUACAAAUUGCACAAGUGGGUGUAAAUGUUAUCACCGACAGUUGCUUGAGUUUACCUUCGUAUUUUAGAUAGUCACAGGUUAAUUAGUAAUUUUGAAUAUACAAGAUACGAAAUAGAAGCACAAGUCAUCAUUGGCCAGUUUCAUUAAUUUAUUUUAAAAUGCAAAGUAUUGUGAAUACUGUUCAGCAGAUUCUCAGGACAAUCAAAUAUUUAUUUGAUAUUACGGAAAUUAAAUUUAAAAUUUGUUUAAGGUGUCCCUAUAAUUAAGCAUAACUUCAAGAGUUCAAGUCAACCAUAUAUUUCACAGCGAGAUUCGAAAGCACGUAUGAAAAUGCAUCGUUUAAAAAAGGUAUACACUACCUCUGUCCAUAAAAAUCUCACUGUAAGUUUACCGUACAUAAAAAUUGAAAAUAAAAAUAGUGUAUAAUAAUUUUAUAAAAUUAUCUUCUUUUAUACUCCAUUAUCUUUUUUAUUUUAUUUUUUAUUAUACCAUUAUUUCUAUUAACUGUUAACUGUAACUUAUUAUGAUAAAUGCAUAAUAAAAUAUUCAAUUUAAAAGCUAUACACGUAAUAUUCACUUUGAGGUCAAAUUAAAAUUAUAUAAUUACCUUGUUUAUUGUGGUACAUUUUUCUUUGGCAAAUGUAAUACUUCGUAUAGAGGGAAUGAAAUUUUUUGAAAAGAAAUAAAAUUUAGUCUACGAAAUAUCAUUUUCUAUCGAACUUAGAAUCGAAAAUACAUACAAAUAAUAAAUAACUUAUAAAGUAUAUGUGAAACACCAUAUAGUCUUUAAAAUAUAUAAAAUUUCAUCCGGUUAGUCCCAAAUAUUUUAACAAUGGAAUAGAUUUCAUAUAUUUUAAGGAUUAUAUACUGGUAUUAAAUUCAGGAUUUAUUAUUUUGAGAAUAGCUUCAGCGUUAGAAAUAUAGAAUAAAUAGAUAUGCUCCUUUGGGGAAUAAAAAAUAAUGGCGAUGCAAACAUUUCAACAGUCCUAGCUAUUUUAAUUAUCUGUUCCCAGCCUGCAACUUGGAUCAAAUCUAUUUUCACGCUUGGGUCGCAACCGUUCCACAAUGUUUAGGGUCGUUGCUACAAAUGUCAAAAUAAUGAGUAGUUUAAAUAAUUAAGAUAGCUAACCAGCCAUAUAUUAUUUUAUUACAUAUACUUUUAAUAUAUCAAUAUGUCAGGUUUCCUAGAAAAGGAGUUCAAAGUGAAAGUAAACUUAUCAAGAUACUAACUAGAUUGGAGUUAUAUAUUGGACACAAAUAGAUGAUAGGUGUGAAUUUAAUUCGUAUAUAUUGUCAAUAUACAAAAAUUAUAUAUUAUUAAUUAAUUAUAAUUGUUAAUUUAUUAGAGAUAUUUAAUUUUUAUUGUAAUUAUUUUUAAAGUCAUAUUUAUUAAUGAUUAUAAUAUGAUGAUAUUAUAAAAAGAUUAACAUAAACAAUACAUAACAAUUAGUAGUGUUUUUCUCGUAAUACAUUAGAUUUUCUUAAUAAUGUGUUAUCUACAAUAUACUACUCUAUUUCACGUAUGAUGUGUUAUGUUUUAUCUUAUACAAUGCAUUGUCAAGAAAGUGUAAUAUGAAUUUAAGGUAUUAACUCGUUAUCUUAAUCCGCUAAAAGUGAAUGUGUGUAACAUAGCAAAUUCCAUUAACACCUAAUUUUUAGUGAGACUAAAAAGUGAAUGUCUGUAUGUUAGCAAAUUCCAAAAAGGUGGUGCUGAAUUUUCUUCUCCAAAUUUUGUCAAUUACAUUCAAAGGUGUAACUUACUAAUUUAUACUACAAAAUAAAAUUUUGGGUGAAUCUAAAUUUACAAACUCCUAUAUAUAAUGCUUAUGAAAAAAGUGCAAUCUAAAAAUAACGGAAACAAAAAAAAUCAAACACAAAUAUAAACACAAAAUUAAGUUACUAUUACAGGUAAAUUUAAGCUACUAUCAUAAGUUAUACCAUGGCAUCAGCUACUUACAAACUACUGCAUAGAAAAUUUGGCGCAAGUAAUUGAAACUUAAAAAAAGAGUCACAACAAUUGCUUGAUCUGCUUUACAAAAUGUGUUGAUUAAGCUGAAAAACUAAAUUAAAGUAGAGCAAACAUAAAGAGAACAAAUGUAAAGCAACUCAAAUUUUAUAUUACUUAAGUUUAAAAAAGUUUUAAAAAUAUGGCUCUAAGGAUGAUGACUCUAUUCUUCCAUCCCUCCCGUCUUUCCUGGAUCUAAAUCAGAUUCAUGCAAUUGUAUUAUUAUAUUUGUAAAAUCAUUGUCUUAUAUGUCCAAACACAUAUUUGCACACAUAUAUCCAAGGGAAAAGUAGAGAAAGAAUAUACCAUUUUAGGUAGAGUUAUAAUGAUUAAUUACAUCAAAUCAUACAAAGUUACAUCUAUUUAAAUCAUAUUCUCUCAUAAAAAGUUGUCCGGAUAUAUAGAUACAGAAGUAUAUUAUUCAACUACAUUCACCAAAUAAUAAUCAAUAUCUUCUAUUGAUUAAAAGAUAGACAUUCCAAAACCCUUAAAGAUAUCAUUCAAUCAAUGUUUUAUAAUUAAUAGAAGACCAAUAUUUAUAUAAUUUUCUAACAUUUUAUUGUUAUUUUGGUAGAUUAGCAAAUUACAUUAUUAUUAUCAUGAUAAUAAAUUUAAAUUACGCAAAUAUUAAAUAGAUGUGAGUAACAUGAAAGUUAGAUUAUGAAAUAAUCUUGUGUAAUAUUAGAAAUAACCACCAACCUAAAUAAAGAUUGAGGAUAAAAUUGUAUGACUUACUAAUACAUGAAUUCUGACUUGAAUCCAAGUGCGAGCAUAACAAAUAGUUUUUAACUAAUAUUAGAGAAAGAUUAUAAGAUACACUAAUGUCUUAAAAGGAAAAUACUAACAAGUGUCCUUAUUAAGAAUCUAAAUAUAUAAAAAAAUUAUUAAAAGUGUAUUGGAAGUUGGGUAUUCAAAAUUUUAAAGGUUUUUUUGUUUUUUAAGAAAAAAUUACUACUUUUGAAAUACAAUAUUAGAAACCUAGAAUCAAUAGAUAUAUUUCUUUGCAGAUUAAAAAUAAUUAAGCUAUAUUAAUUUUUUUUUACUGUAUAAGGUAUAUUUUUUUCUUUUCAUUUUUGGCAAACUAAAAUCAAGGUGGUGUCAACAUUUCUAUAUUCCUAACUAUUUGAUUAUGUUCACAGCUCUAUUUGAUUAUGGCCAGCAUCUACCAAAACCAAAUUCACCCUCCAAAACGAUUUGAGUUGCAACCGUUCCAAAAUACUUAGGGUCACAUUGCUCUAAAAGUCAAUAAGAGUGAGUAAUUCAAAGAUGGCCAGCCUUAUAUAAUAAUACGAAUAAAAUCAAGUUUCCUAGAAGGUAAGUCUCAAGAUAGUUAGAGUUAAAAAUCCAACUAUAAAAUGGGGUUGCGCCACAGCAUUCUUCCACAUAAUCACAACCAAAACCAACUUGCAAGAAAACAAAAAUGGGGUCCCUAAUGACCUCUGCUUCUCUCACUCUUGCAUUGGCCAUUCUCUUUUUCAAUUUACCAUCUGAAAUUUCAGCAAACCGUCACGAUUCUUAUUCCUCUCCACCACCACCACUAGUACCAGUCUACUCACCACCACCGUCACCGGUCUACUCACCACCACCAUCACCAAUCUACUCACCACCACCAGUUUACUCACCACCUCCACUAGUCUACUCACCACCACCAGUCUACUCACCACCUCCCCCAAAAUACUCAUCACCUCCACCACCAGUUCACACCUACCCUCAUCCACACCCAGUUUACCAUUCUCCACCACCCCCUGCUCACAAGUAUCCUCACCCUCACCCUGUUUACCACUCUCCACCACCACCAGUUCACAAGUACCCUCAUCCUCACCCUAUUUACCACUCUCCACCACCACCCGUUCACAAGUACCCUCAUCCUCACCCUAUUUACCACUCUCCACCACCACCCGUUCACAAGUACCCUCAUCCUCACCCUGUUUACCACUCUCCACCACCACCAGUUCACAAGUACCCUCAUCCUCACCCUGUUUACCACUCUCCACCACCACCAGUUCACAAGUACCCUCAUCCUCACCCUGUUUACCACUCUCCACCACCAC
rnacentral:lncRNA from 1 species